AUGACCAACCUGUUCCUCAGCCGAUGCAGUACUUGCGGGCACAGUGCCCAAAAAAUUGCACAGUUUCUAAGCAAUCUCUGGACUUCCGAUUGAACGCUAGAAAGAAUGUAGGUCUAGAUUCUUCCUUUUUUUUAGGGCAAACGUGGCUAAUAGUGUUCUCCAGCAAGAAAUCCUAAGGUUUUUGCAAUUUCACAUCUUUGUUUCGUCGAGCUUGAGCUGAGGAGCUUGACAGUGCGCGAGUGCAGCGAAUUUUAGUAGUAGUCGGAGUGUUUUUUUUUUUUUUUUUUUUUUUUUUUUGUGGCAAGAGGUGGAGGGAAACUAAGCAGAAUGAGGCCGAUUUUGUUGAAGGGUCACGAGAGGCCCCUUACGUUUUUGAAGUACAACAGAGACGGAGACUUGCUUUUCUCCUGUGCCAAAGAUCAUACGCCUACAGUGUGGUAUGCGAGUAACGGCGAGCGUUUGGGCACGUACAAGGGCCACAACGGAGCUGUAUGGUGCUGUGAUGUUUCGAGUAGGUUUUCUUGACCUAGCUGGUGUUGUUCGGUCGUGAACUUGCUAGCGUAGUUCGCGAGAACUAGGUAGGUCUUGGGUUCGACCGUUUGGCGAUUCUCAAGCCACGGUGUAUUGAAAAGAUGGUUUAGUUUUGAGUCUGGGUUUUGAUUCGCCUCCAUGUCAUAUGACCAUGUUGUUCAGGGGAUUCGACUCGCUUGGUGACCAGUUCGGCUGAUCAGACUGUGAAGCUAUGGGACUGCGAGACUGGUGUCCAACUGCACUCUUUCAACUUCGAUGCUCCCGCGAGGGCUGUUAGCUUCGCUGAAGGCGACAAGAUGGUGGUGAUUACUACUGAUCCGUUCAUGGAACAGCAAUCUGCUAUUCAUGUCAAGCGGAUAGAGUCAGACCGAUCUUUACGUAAGUGCUUUCGUUAUCCUUCACCUCAUCGCGGUGCACAAACCUUUAGAAUCAUAUAUUAGCUUUUUCCUUCAAAAACCUUAAAUCUUUGGAGUUCCAAUUACAGCAUCACUGGGAAAUUCCGAGACAUCGUAUCUCUACAAUGAUUGUCACCCGACUUUUUGAGUGUCUGGUUCACAAGCGAGAUUUUUGUUAGGGUUUCAUGCCCUGAUCAAAAAACCGAAGUGAAGCACGGUUCAGUUAGUUGGAGCCAAUUGUAGACAUCGUAAUGAACGUGCAUUUUUUAAGCUUGAACCGUCAAGUAGUUUUUGAUUCCAUGGAGAUGUCUACCUGAUACUUUUUGUAACACUACCCUAAACUCCUCCUUGUCUCUAUCAACUCUAGGACACGUCAAGGCUAAUCUCAGGCCUUUCUUUUUGCAACUUCGGAACUAGAACUUGUUUACACUUCUAAGAUCGUUUGAGACAAGAACGCAGCAGUGUAUUCGUUCAUUUCUGAAAUUUGAGGUCUGGAUGAUGAAUGCAGAAUCCAGUGAAGAUGUGCUCACGAUCACAGGGCCACAAGGCAGGAUCAAUAGAGCCAUGUGGGGACCAUUAAACAAGACCAUUAUCAGUGCUGGCGAGGACGCUACUAUCCGUAUCUGGGAUGCUGAGGUUUGUCUUAACAAUUGGAUCCUGACAGCACUUUUCAAUUUUCAAUCAAGUAGUUUAUUUACAGGUUACGUGAUGUUUUGAUAUGUUGUGCCAGUUUUCUUUUUUUUAACUAUCGGAGCGAAAGUUCUACGUUCUUUGGGUUGUAUAAAUGUCAACAGACGACUCAAGCUUCAUUCAUGUAUUUCCUCUGUGUUGACUUCAAGGAUAGGGUACCUGAAUCUCAAUUUUGCAGACUUCAAAAAUCUAAAACGAUUCAUCUGAUUGCAAUGUGACAAUGUGUUGGUUGCAAUUCAAUUCGUUUCUUCGUUCACUUGCAGACAGGCAAGCUAUUGAAAGAAAGCGAUCCUGAAACAGGCCACCAGAAGGUUAUUACAGCGAUGGCGAAGUCAGCUGAUGGCUCACACUUUAUCACUGGAUCUCACGACAAAUCAGCGAAGUUGUGGGAUAUUCGAACCUUGCAAAUGUUGAAGACGUACACCACAGAGCGACCUGUGAAUGCUGCUGCUAUUUCACCCCUGCUCGAUCAUGUAUAGUCUACCUAUUCCCAUAAUAUCCAAUGUGUCCGCUCUCUUUAGGCGGAAUUGGAGAAGUCUUGUAACGUCUAUCCUGUGGGAUUGAACUAGACAAGCUGAUUCCAACUGAUACUGGUGAUUGCUGAAUAAGAUAACAGGGAUGCUGAGUUCAACAUGGCUUUGGUUGUGCCGCAGGUCGUCAUUGGUGGUGGUCAAGAGGCUUCUCAAGUGACAAUGACAAGCACUCGAGCUGGAAAGUUUGAAGCAAAGUUUUUCCACAAGGUCAGUUCGUCGCCCCCAGUGUCGUAGUUUAUGUUUUUUUGGUUAUGGUGAAGUGUCUGUUAACCCUGGUACGGUCAAUUUUUCUACUCUUAUUGUUGCGGUCUCGAUGAAUGAAAUUCGUCAAUGUGCAUAAUAUACAAGUUGGCGCUUUGUAAAGACACCAUUGACUGCAGAGAAUGCCUUUUUACCAUUUAUCCGAGAUAUUCAUCACAGACUGCAACUCAUAAAGCAUAGAAAGAGAAUCCUUAUUUACCGUCUCGUGAUUGACGUGCCAGAUUUUCGAAGAGGAAAUUGGUGGUGUGAAGGGCCAUUUUGGACCUAUUAAUGCUCUAGUUUUUAAUCCUGACGGAAGGAGGUUCGUUUUGGAUUUUAUUUUCUGCGCAUGUGUUGGGAUAAGUAGUUUUUGGACAUAUGUAUAAGUUUGGAUAGAUGUUUCCCAAUAUCCCUCUCUUACUUUUAUGAAAUAAUUGAUCAAACUAUUAUGAAAUGAUGGGUAAAAUAAUGUUGAGAUUGUUCUCUCUGCAACCUUGUGCAAUGAAAGUUCUACGAGUUCUGCAUGGUUGCAUGGCUAGAGCUUAAAUAAGAUAUAAUUUCUUUUGAAACAAAUAGUAGACUCUCUUCACUAAUUUGGUAGCUCUUCUCCAUGAAUAUGCAGUUUCUCAAGCGGUGGUGAAGAUGGAUAUGUGCGGGUGCAUUUCUUCGACUCAGAUUACUAUCACAUCAAGGUUUAAUAUGUGUAUCUUUUAGCUAGGGUUGAAAGGUCCAGUGACCACUGUUAAGAAUUUUUGCAUGUUCUUUUGGCUGGACCAAGGACAGCAAGUUUUGACCAAAAUUAAAUUUCGAGAGAGGAUAUUCAAUUACGUCGUAAACUUAGCAGAUAGAUAUACCUAGAAUUUCGGAUUGCUACAUUAGUGUUGUGAUAGUAGCUCCAGAGCAUCAGCUUCUUUUUGCUGUUUGAUGCCGUAUGUUAUAUUAACUGCUUUCUUGCUCAUUCCUUAGUAUUUAGAUUUAUUCCAAUAAAGAAGUUCCAAUCUCAUUGUUUUGAAAUAUACUCUGAUUUUGGAAAGGUUUCUUUAAGUGGAUGUUAUUAAAUGAUUUUUUUACCAACUGCUUAACAUCAUCUUAAAAUUCAUCGCCUUUCUCCUCAUUCAUUACUGCAUGACCCUUGAAUUCUUACAAGCUUUUGUUACCGUUGACGAGCAGAAAUCAAUUUCCAUCCUGUUAAGACUCAAAAACGUAUGCCUUCAAAUGAUCAGUGGAAAGACGUAAGCAUCUUAUUCUAUCUCGGAGGAUUUAUUUUGCACUAAGAGAAUGAGACAUAUGUGAGAAUUUCGAAUACAUGUCCAUUCCAAUCAGACUAAAGAUUUUGGCUUGCAAGGUGGGUAAUGCCCAUCAAACCACGACUUUUGUCAAAUAUAAAAUCUAAUAAUGGCUAUUUAUACAAGUAAUUAAUAAAAAAAUAUUAAUUUCUUUGAUUUCAAUGUACAUGGAAAUUACCAUUUUAUUCUUUAACACUUACAAACGCUUAACAACUUAACAUUUAGCACAAUGUAUAAUAUGGUAGGAUUGUAUUAAGUUUUUUAAAAAAAAUGUUAAUUUUAUUACCUUGGACAAAAAGAAGAAAUAAGAAUCUUAAAUUUUGCUUAAACCAUUAAGAAGUUAAGAAAUUCUUAAUAUAUUGACAUAUUUUAUCACUCCGUUUAGUUAUAAAAAUGAAUUGGGCAAAUUAAAAUUAGUACUUAACAUGAAAGCUACAACUUCUUAAGCAUGUUGGGCUCUACAAAUUUUAAACAGAAGAUAUUUGAUUCCAUGUGCAUAAAAAUACUUUAUUAUGUAUUAAUUAUUGGAAUUUAGUAAAUAUAAGUUUCCAAUUUUUUUUUUUUUUUUAUAAUAGUAAUGCCAAAUAAGAUGACUCAAAUACCAUUAGUAGUCAUAUUUUGUGGCAAAAAAUGAUAAUCUUAAAAAUUAGUAGUAUUUAUACAUUUCCAUUAAUCUUAAUGCUUGGAGCAAACAACUUCGUAAACAAUUUAGUUAAAAUAUGUUUUAAUGAGUGGUACAAUAACACACUUAUAAUUUGAACUAUUACAAUAUAUAUAUAUAUAUAUUUAUAUAUAUAUAUAUGUAAGAAAAAAAUACUUAAGUAACUAGUGACAAUUUUCUAGUAAAUAAAACACUAAGAAAAGAUCAUAUAUAUAUAUAUAUAUCAAAUGUAGUUUAAGAGAAAUAAAUAUGUUACAAAAAUUGUAAUAAUUUUCAAUUCAUACUCAUAUGUUGACAAAGUAGAUAUUUUUUUAUAUUUAUGCUAAAAUUAAGAAAUAAAAAACAUUGACAUCAAAUGUCUCUACACAAAAAAUAAAUAAAUAAAUAAAUCCAGAUUAAAAAAAAAAAAAAAAAUGUUAUAAGGAUUAGUUUAUAGUUUUAUCUACCAUUGAAUGCAUACAUUUAUAAUGAUAGAUCUAUGUCUACAAUAUUUAUAAUACAAGAUAUAACUAAAAGAUCUUUUGUAAUAUACAAGUGUUCAAAAAUCCAAUACUUUAUAAUUUUUCCCCAUUAUCAAGUGUUUACAUUAACAAUACUAAUAAACCUUAUUUAAGAUAUCUAAUAGUUAAACUUCUUCAAAAAUAACUAAAACUCUAUAUGUGUGUAUGUAUGUGUAUAUAUAUAUAUAUAUAUAUAUAUAUUUGCAUUCAACACAAUAAAUAAAUAAAAGAUGUCUUUAUAAAAAGUAGCAAUGACUUUUUAGAACCAAUUUUGAUAAAUAAGUUAAAGAAACUAAAGUCUAAAACAUUUAUAAAUUUUAAACCUUCAUAUAUUAUUAUUACUGUUUUAUUAAAUGGUUCUUGUUGUUCUUUUAAACAUUAAAUUUAAUAAAAUUUUCAUAAAACACUAUAUAUAUAUAUUUAUAUAUAUAUAUUUUAAUAUUGAUUUUCUACUUGUAGUGAAAGUUUUAUUUUUUAAAGCAUAGAAUAAUACUAAAAGAAGAUGUCAAUACUGAGAGAAUAUUAAAACAGCUUAUAAGAGAAAUGUAUAAUUAAUUCUCUACAAAAAGAAUAAUGAAUGUCAUAGAAAAAAUAGUAUAACCAUCUGAAGGUAGAGAUCUAUUUUUAAUUCCAUUUUAAAAAGAGGUUAUUGUAAUAUUAAGAGUUUAAAAUAUUAUUAAUUAUAUCUGAUUGAAUAUUUUUUUUGAAGGUAGGAUUAAUAAUUUAAGCAUUUGUAUGAAUUAAAGUAAAGAUUUAUUAAAAUUGUGUAAAAAAUAACUCAAACAACACCUCACAAACAUAAAGAAAAUUGAAUAUUAAAUAAUAAAUAUUGACUUAUUUUAUUGUAUUUAAUUAAAUUUAUAGUUUUAUUGGUAGGUUUUUAAUUUUAUUUGUAUAAUUUUUUUAUUUUCUUAUAUUCAUAUUUUUUACAUUAAUAUUUUUUAACUAAAUAUGUUAUUCUUAUAUAUUUCUUAAAUCUCUUCCAAAUUGUAUGCAUUAACUAUUACAUGUGCUAAUAUUUUACAUUGGUGAUUAUUUAAAGGUUUUGAAAAUACAUUUUUUAACUUUUUUAACUCUUAUUGGAUAUUUUACUUUAUACUAUUAUGAAAUAUACAUUCUUAAAUUUGUAAUGCAUAAUAUAUAAAAAUACAUUCUAAUAAUCUUUAUGAUUAUAAAAUAUCUCAAAAGUAUUUUAUAUAUAUAAUAUAAUAUUUAAAUAUUUAAUAUAAAAAAUAUAAUAAUUAUUUAUUAAUUAAUAUAAUUUAUAAAAUAGAUUUAAUAAUAGAUAAUUCUAAUCCCAAUUCUUUAAAUAUAAUAUUUAUUACAUAAUAUUAAUUCUAUUAUAUUUUAUAUUUCUAUUUACAAAUAUAAACUUUAUCAUAUCAUUAUCUUUUUAUUUUCAUUUUUAUAAUUCAUUUAAACCUUCUUAGAACUAAAACUAUUGCCUUAUGUUGUAUAAUAUGUUAGUAGUUUAGUACAUGGGUCAUAUUUGUCUCUUUUAAUCACACUUGAAUUUAUACAAGUGACUAAUAUGCAAAUCUUUCCAUUGAUAGUAUUUCAAGUGAUUUAAUUCCGUCCUCUAGUGUCAAAGAGAGAAGAACAAGAGUUAAAAAAAAAACAAAACAAAACAAAGGGAGAAAUUAAGUGUGCAAUUGGGGGCCAUGUACAAAUAUGAAUAAAGUAAUGAGAUGUGAUCUCUUUGCAAAAACAAAACAUUAAUAAGUUUGAAGUCCUUUGGAAGAAGGGCACGUAGAAAGAGCUAUCUUUCUUUGGUGUUUUUAGACAAGUUUACUUACUAAUAUGUUGUCAAUACUCUUGUACUACCACUUGUGCCUUCAACUUAGCUAAACAAAUUACACUACUUUUUUUCUUUCAUUUGCAAACUAUCAAGUUAUCCGUUUUAUCUUAUAACGUCUUCUUGUUCUUUAUCAUUAGUUUAGUCACUUCAACACAAUGCUUGUUGGUCUCUUUUAAAAGACUGUAGGGGAUGUAUUGUAUCUGCAAAUUGUCACAAUUAUUAAGAAUAUGAAAUCAAAACGAAUUGUGCAUAACAAUUUUCACGUUCACAAGCCACGCAUAAAAACUACAACCACCUAAAAAAUAAUUGUAAUUUAAAAAAAUAUCAUCUAUGUAUUUAAAGGACACCAUGUUUUACAUGUAAUUGACUCAUAUUAGCUACAGUAUACCCUUACUUUUUUAAACAUGUACUAGAAAUAUGUAUAUUUUUUAAAAACGCACACAUUCUCGUACACACACACAUUGUUUGAAACUGUUUCUGUUGAAGCUAGACAGGGGGCGAAAUUCCACCAAUGAACUCAACCUUCAAAAUGUAACUUUUAUCCUCAAAUUCAACGGACUGACAAUUAUAUUGUUUUUAUUAUUCUAACGUCUUCAAUUCCAAUGUCUCAAAACACAAUCAAACCUAUCAUCAAGUAAGUGUUCUCGCAUUAAAUAAAUGCAGACGUAAGUUACACCAACACAUUAAAAAUAAUAAUAAAGUCAAUUCUAAUCAUCUUGAGGGACGGAGUCGCCAAUCGCUACUAUUAGGAUGAUCAUAUACAGACAAAAAAAAACUCCCGAAAUAUGACCAUUUCUAAAUUAAGAGGUAUUGGGAACGAUUCCUGGAGGAGACACUCCUCCGACGCCGCACGAGAGAAAUGCUGAUGCCGGUCACCAGGAGACUUGGACUAUAUUCUUCUGCUGCUUCUUCUGCUUUUUGCAAUCUGCACAUGCAGUGGCUGCACUGUUUUGUCGAUGCAGCGAUCGUAACACAGCAACAGCAACAAUGUUUCCAGGGAAACUGGUUUCCAGAAGGACCACUGGAACACAGAGUCGAAACUGAUUGGGAAAGGAAGGAAACCACACUCAAACCUCAGCAACCCAUCGUCAAGCUCGGAGGGGAGCCUGCAUUUGCAUGCAAAUCGUCGCAAGCGUGUCAUGGUGCAAAAACGCCGGUUCCGGGGAUUUAGCCACGUUGUCAGAUGCGCUUUUUUUAAAUGAUUUUGUUGCCUUCUUCCAGAUUAUCUGGAUAAGAGGAUGCCAUUUGCUAAGUAUGGUGUGCGUUGCGAAGAUGGCGACUGCGGAGAUGUGGACACGGAGCCUUGCUUCGGUGAUCACAGGAGCAGGUGGGUUUCUAAACUGGGAGGGUGGGGGCUUGUGGCAAACACCAAGAAUGCCGUAGUGUCGACCUGCCAGUGCAUCAGGGUCAUUGAUGGAAAGAGCUCCGAUUACGGACGUGCCCCAGAAUCCUGAGCCGUGCGAGAUUGUGUCGAGUGGAAUCCGAGUACCUUUACUUAGAUCUUUUGGUGCGACCAUUUGUUCGUGAGCUCGCAACUCCAUGUCAUUAAAGUUAGUCCAGUAUUUAUUUAUUUAUUUAUGUUACCUUUUUUCUUUCAAACGGGGGCUGUGGCAGGUCGGAUGUGCUCAUUCAAUCCCCCCACCCCUUCCAGAGUUUUCAAUUCCAUCUUUGAAUCAGCUUAAAGUGCCUCGAUUGUGUGUUACAUAUAUUUACACUCACAGCCUGGAACUACAUUCUGUUUUAUUCAUGACCUCAUGCAUGGUGGGUUCAGACAAACCUCAAAAUUUGCUAAUAGUAAUCACCACAUUUAUUUUUUUAUACUUUUUUGAAACCUUUGGCAGAAAUGGAUGCACAGCGAAGCCGUCAUGAAGAAGUAAUUGAACACAGCCCGACAAAACAACGAAAAACUUACAUAAGUAAAGCGGAAUAAAUAAAUUUUAGAGAUAUGAACUUAGAACCCACUUGAGGUAAUGGUGAAGUAUUUUCGCACAUGCUGACAGAGGCUCAUUUUCUCCUUUUCUUAUUCUCUAAGCAACGAUAUCAUAUGAUGCAAUAGUGUGUGAUUUCCAUUGGUUUGAUAUCCCGCAGAUGGGCUUGCUUUUAUGAUGCGGUAGGUUUUAGAACUAGGUAUCAGAACCUGCACAUGCAUCAUGAGUGCAAGAAUGGAGGAGCGCUCUGAAAGAUUUUGUGGAGAUUAAUGGGGGGAAUGAAUGCGUGUGCGGAUACAUGGAUGUGAACUGAGAUGGCUGCGUCACAUUCAAUCCGUCAUCAGGUGAUGCUCUCCCAAGCAAAGGUUCCGUGGUCUAGACCUCUAAGUUAAGCUCCUGGGAAUAGUUGAGAAUAAAGCACCCGGCGCUUCGAGUUACACCGGAAGCCGGUAGACGCAUGACGUUUUUUCGAUGCGUGGCCGGAAAGAUGGUAGGGAGGAUUAUCUCUAUUAGGGAGUUCGAACACUACGAUGCCAUAGCACUCUAGAACGAUACACGAAGUGUUCAAUUCGGCUUACAACCUACGAAAUUGUGUCUACUGUCUGCGAUCUCGUGGUUUGAAGAAUUAGCUUCGUGUUGCGCGCCUAUGUCGGCGUUAACUGGGUUGUGGUAUCCUGUUCACCGGGAGGUCAGGAUAGUAUGGAGAGUCUCCGAUCUGUGCAGCUCAGCGGAUGGAGCUUGAAUCUCUGAAUAACUCCGUGUCGUAUCGAACUCCUCUCGAAGGGUUGGAGAACUCGUGGUUGGUUGCAGUCAAGUGAAGCGUAUCGACCGACCUUGGGAAUGUUGGUAAAGCGACUUUUUUUUACUGGACAUCACUGGUUUCUCUCAAGUUGGAUGUGCGAGCUCGUCUACUUGUAAGUGGAUUUGCGCCGGGUCCGACCACAAGGACGCAGCAGUGCAGGUGCUUCGACGGAGUCCAAGCUUUGGCCAGCGAGUGCUGAAAGUGUUAGGGGUUUCAUGUAGUAUUCGAUGCGCAGCAGCGGGGCAAGAUCGUAAGAGACGUUUCGGCAAGUAGCCCUAAUCAACAGCAGUCGUGGAGUAGUUCGUAGUUUUUGUAAAAAGACAAUCUCCGUAUGGAGCUGGAUUGGUAUUCGAAGAAACAUUUCACCUCAAAUUCAGCUAGAAGAGUUGCAAUACUGACCAGCUUCAUGGGCCAUGUGAGUCGAUCUGCUUAACUUUCACACCCAACCUCUCUAUGUUCGAUUUUCACUUAUCCAAAACAUCGUGUGAAAUUGUCUUCGAUUACUUCGUAGUGCGCAAUAUGAGCCCCAUUUCCCGGAAGACUGUACCAGCGUGAGAAGUUAGUACAAUGGACUUUCAGUGAAGUUGUUUUUGAUGGUGGAGGGCAUUCUGUGCAGGUUGGAUCAAGGCUAUUGCUGGUAAAGCCGUUGUACAAAAGGUUGUCAAGUUCAAUAUCAUCGAAAUCCCUACCAGCACCUACGGCAUCUAAGAAAUGGGACGACGAUGAAUAUCUCGACUUCCAACCAAAGUGCUUGUCGCUCGGAAGGUCGAGGAAAUGGGUGUUUUCAUCGUUCGAUGAAAGAGCGCGAAGAAAACAAUACAAUUGCUUUGCAUGUGUUCUGCACAUAUGAAAGCUGACCGCCUGCGAUUACAAUCAAGUAGUGCAAGCGACCACCUGCGACUACACGCUGGACUUUUUCUCGUAAAUUUUGUUAUUAUAUUCUAGAACCUUAUCAGAUUGUGUAGGUGUUUAGAAGUAGUCAUGAACCACUACCAGUGACCAUGCCUGUAACUAAUUCACAAGUGCAUGCUACAAUUCACUCGGGUAGACUGUCUGCUAAGCUUCUGCAAAUAUUCAUUCAAAGAGCGACGAUCUGGAUACAACUACUCCUGCUCUUCUUUCUUCUUUGUUAUUUAUUUUUAUUUAUAUUUUACUUCGAGUUAUACAAAUCUGAGUCUGUUUGAGAAGUUUUUAUUUUUUUAUUUAGUUCUUCAUAUUGGUGUAUCUCUUUUACCUGAUGUUGCAUCCUGGUGUUGCAGCAAAUAAUAAUAUUAUAACAUUUCCGUAUGUUUCCAGCCAGUCUUUGUGGCAUGCAAAUCAAGCCUCACAUGAUGCGUGCAUUGUUCCUGUGAGGUUGCUGUUCACUGUUCCCUGUUGUUGUCUCCCGACUCUUCCCUGUCCUUGGUCGAGGUUGAUUCCCGCAUCAUUCUACGUCUCCUCUUCUACAAUCGCCUUUCAGAUUUCAUUCUUGUCAUCCUGCGCUUCGAUUAGAACAAUCUCUUCCAAAUUCGUUCUCAUUCCUAAAGGCCCAGAGGAACUUCUUCUUGUUCUCUAACCUGCAAUAAUUUACUCAUUCCCAAGUUCUCUGCUUCUUUGUUGAUAAGAAUGCUGGUUGCAAGAAUGAUGCCUCGGACCGUGAACAAAUAUAGGAUGUGAAGUAACAGGGUUUCCAUGCGUACGGAUGCGAUUAUCUAUUAAACAUCUGCACGAAAAAAAAAGGAGAGCAGCGGGCUCUGCCAUUAUACAGAUUGAAUGAUUUACAUUGACAAUGGAAGUAUCAAGCAAAAGAGCGAGGUUGACGUUGCCUGAAUUUGGAGCAUAACAAACAGCAUCUCUACAGAAGUGGAAGCAAGCAGAAGGAUGAAGCAACGGAGAAUUUCGUGGAGUAGAUGGUGAAGAUGAGAGGGUCGGACAAAUCGAAAUAGGGUGGUGGCGGACAUGUCCCAUAUGGGUUGAAGGGUCGAGGUGAGUGUGACGGCUACUAGUACGCAGAACACCAAAUUUCUCGCAACUUGGUUCAAUUCAGAGAUUAGUCUCCAAUCCGUGAAAAGUUCCCCAAGAGAAAGAGGGCAGCUUCGAGUAAUGGAAGAGGCGUGUUGCUAAUGAUCUCAAGAGCUCCAAGAAGUGGAAGAGGCGUGUUGCCAAUGAUCUCAAGAGCUGAUCUCAAGAGCUUUAAGAAGUGUGUUAGUCUUUCAUUACUAGAAAAAAAUGAUAAUGGUAGAACUUUGGGGGCUUGAUAUAAGGAUAUUAAAAUAUUAAUCUAAUAUGUAUUUAGGUACAAGUGUGGAUUGUAAUAGGAAUUGGAUUAGUCUAUUGGAUUGACUUGAAAGUAGAAUAAUCUAUUGUGGGAUAUAAUAAUGUUUUAUAACCAAAGAAGGUAAUAUAAUUAAGCAAAAAUAUUACAAAAUUUGAAGUAUCUUUUUAUUUUAUUAUUCAUGUAAAGUAAAAUAAAAAAUUUAUAAUAAUAAUUAUUUUUUAUUUAAAAAUAUAUAUGUAUAUAUAUUUUAAAAAUUAAAAAUAAAGUUAAUUUAAUAAUUAUUAAUAUAAUAUAUAAUUAAUUAAAUAAUAUAGAAUUUGAAUAUAGAAAUUUUGCAAGAUAAAUAAUAAUAAUAAUAAUAAUAAUAAUAACAACAACAAAAGAUUUUAUGAAGUAAUAUAUUUUUGGCAUAAAUUAAAAUAAGAUUGAAAAUAGUGUGAUUAAAUUCAAUAAAAAUUUAAAUCUUGCAAUUUUAAAAAUAUAUCAAACUAGUCUAAUUUAUAUUAUAAAUUAGUUUUAAAAAAUUAUUAUUCCUUUAAGUAAUGAGAAUUUUUAAAAAUGGCAUAAGAUAGAAGUACAUCGUUGUUGUCAUUGGUUUUUAAUGAAAUAAUAAUAUAAAGUUUAAAAAUAGUUAUUUUUUUCUAAAUAAAUUCUCAUUUAAAAAUAUUAUGAGAUAUUGUUAUUGACAUAUAUAUUUAUUCCAAUAGUUACUUAUAUGAUUAAGUAGAAGUAGGUAAAUAUAGAUUAAUUUCAUAAAGUCUUCUAAAGAAGCUUCUUAGAAGAUAUAUAAACAUGGUUUUGACUUUAGAUGUAUUUAUAGGUUAAAAACUUAGCCAAUAAGUUAAUCAAAUGUUGAUAGCUUGUGAAACAAGCUAACUAUGUAGUGUAUACAUAGAUAACUUGCCUUGAAAGUUCUGACAUGUGGCUAGCAAAGUCAACACAUGUUGGAGGUCUUAUAAAAUAUCGCUACAUAGUUCUUACUUAGAGAGUAUAUAUGGAGGCAAGAGUAAAGCCUUCUUCACUCUUGUCAAUGUCUUUCUAGUCCUUAGUCUUAUUUCAAAACUUGUUAAUCUUCUUGUUUUUUACAAUAACUAUUCUAGUUCAAUAUUAUAUCAUCUUUGAGUGACUUUUUAGUUCCUUAUAAUGAUACAUGAGUGUAUUAAAGUUUUUUUUCCUUGAGAUUCAUGUCCUUGAAAAUUUGACAAGAGUACUAACUUAUUGUUUUUGUCUUGUUUUAGAAGUGAGUGGAUUACUCUACUUCUAUUGUUGUGUUUCAAAGGUUAUGAACUAUCCACCUUUAAAUAUAUAUAUAUUUUUAUUUUUUAACAUUAUUUUUUUUCUUAAUGAGAAUGAAUCAUCCUUCUUCAUGAAUUUUUUUAUUAGAGGUUGCGGAUUACCCUCUUUUAAUUUAACCUUUUGAAUUUCUUUGAGAUGUCUAUGGAAGAAAAGAUUAUGGAUGCUACUCUUGGAGGCGUGAGAAUAUAUUUGCAACUAUUGUAGAUCUUUAUGAGCUUGUCAAUACUCUAAGAAUAGAAAUCUCACAUAUUUCUAACAUUAAUUAUGGGAGUAUUAUGCCUAUACAUAUAAAAAAAGUUUAGAGUUUGUGACAAGAAGUUGUACAGUUGAAGGAAGCAAGUAGAUCGACAUCACAGCCAAAUCUAGGGGAUUUUGCUUCUACAAGUAUAACAAGGACAAGGAUUAGUAUGCCUGAGAAUUUUGAUAGAAUAAGAUCAAAAUUUUGAGGGUUUUUGCAAUAAGUCAACUUCUAUCUCAUGUUGCAUCCUUUCCAUAACUUCAUGGAUUUAUUCAAGUCGGAUUCAUAGGUAUACUUCUAUCAAGAAGUGCUCUCCUUUGAUUUGUACCUUUAAUAGUAAAAGAAUUAUAACUCUUUUAUAAUUUGAUUCAUUUUUAGAAGUAUUUACGGCCACAUUCAAAACAAGUGAUUGAAAAAAAAUAGGAAAGAUCAAGCUCUUAUCUUCAUGCCAAGGAUCACGAUCAGCCAUCAUAUAUGCUGUUCAAUUCCAAAACCUUGCUUACAACUUGGACUGAAAUGACAAAGUCCUUAUCAAUUAAUUUUGAUAUGGAUUAAAGGACAAUAUAAAAGACUUAUUACUGAUAAUAUCAAAGAUAAAAUCUUAGAAAAAAUUCAGUACUCAAGCCAUUAUAUGUGACAAUUGAUUAUUUGAAAGACAUCAAAAAUAAAGAUUUGGCUAGAAAAGAACAAAUCAAAUAAUGAUGGCAACUCUUAAAUUUUUAGAAACCUAUUCAUUAAGGCCAAAAGUAAUAUAAAUUGAUAUGAUAUGUUUUAAACUCCUCACAGAGCAAGAAAAGACUCAAUGAUGCCAAGAGGGAUUAUCCUUAUAUUUUAGAAAAGAUAAACAUAUCAUUUAAUAUUAUCCAAAGAAACAAUACAAUUACAAAAUGAGAAGCAUGAUUUCCAAAGAAGACAAUGUGUGAAAAAAUGAGUUACUCCAACUACAAUAGGGAUCAUGUGGCUGGAAUUAUGUGCAAUAUCUAGUAAAAGUCAUAUUCUCUAUUUAAAUCCCUUAUCUUGUUUUAUAAUAGAAGUUUGUUUAGGACUAAAAAAUCACAAAAUGUUAGCCUUGUUGGAUUCAAGAGCCUCGGUUUCUUUUAUAGAUGAAGACUUUAUCAAAAAAUAAGAUAUAUCCUUAGUUAAGAAAAUCAAACAUGUGCAUAUAGAAGUAAUAGAUAGACAUUCAUUGUCUUCUAGAGAUGUUAUACAUAAAAUUAAUCUUAUAGAAUUUAUUAAUAUAAAUAAGUAUUAUCAUAGAUAUAAUAAAGUAAGUAAGUAUUACCUUAAAUAAAAUACUAAUGGUCAAAGGAUAGGAAAAAGAUGAAAGAAAAAAACUAAGGUAGCAGCUAGGAUUUAAAUAGGGGUAGGAUUUUAAGUAGCAAUUAGGAUUUUAAGUAGUAGCUAAAUUAAGUGGAAUAUAGGAUUUUAUUGGAUGAAGCAAAGAUGGAUGAAGAUGAAGUUCAACCAUAAUAAAUAUAAAUUUCACCUACAAGUACAAGAUGUUGGAAAUAAAAGAUAUCUCAUUCCACACUUCUCUUAUAUGCAACCUUGCUGAUUUCUACUUACUUAUGUCUUGCUUAUUGUAUUUCUUCAAUAGGUUAUGGGCCCACUCAUACUUUGUUGUGCCAUUUAAGUAAGUUAAUAUCAUUUUCUUGUGGUUGUACUUGUGUGGAAUAGAUCUUAUGGUAUUUGUUGAUGUUAAGAUUUCUAAGAUUUAAACUUAUAUUUUGGGCAUGAAGACGUGCUAACUUUGACCUUAUAGAUCUCUAAUAUUGCUUUGUGAGUUUUUAUCUUCCAUGAUUGAGAAUUUAAGAUGUUAUAGAAAGACCUUGAUAGUAUCUUUUAUUUUAUUGUUCUUUCAUUCAUCUUAAGUGUAUAGUAAAAUAGUUGAUUUCAAAGAGUGAGAGUUCAUGAUAGUGAGGUUUAUUAGAGUACAUAUACUUCUUAGAAGCUUUAGAGCUUGAGUUGAGAAUGAUUUGAGUGAGAAAGCAUUCAUUUAUUCAUAAGAAGGGAUUCUAAGAUUAUACUAAUAUAAAAUUAUUUUGGUGAUUUCAAGCUCAUAGUCACUCUUUUUCUUGAUAUAUUUGAAUAGAUCCCUUCUUAGAUAUGGCUUCUAGUGAGAAUAAAGAUUUGAUAAUAAUUAAGAAGUUUAGAGGAGAGAAUUUUUAUCAUUGGAAGGUCAAAGUGAAGCUUUUGUUGGCAUCAUUGGACCUUUUCAACAUUGUAGAUGAAAGUGAAGAGGCUCCAAACAUACAUGCACAUGCUAAGAAGUAAAAAGAAUUCCAUAGAUGUGAAAAGAAGGAUUUUGGCAUAAUUACCACUAAUUUGGAUGAAGUCAAUUUUUCUCACAUCAUCUCUUACAAAAGUCCAGCAGAAGCAUGAAAGAUUCUUUGCAAUAUAAAUCAGAGCAAGAACUUGUCCAAUAUCAUCUUCACAAGGAAGAAGUUCUUCACUUGUAAGAUGGAAGAAGGUGAAGAUUUCAUGGCUCAUAUCAAUAAGGUCAAGGCUCAUGCAAAUCAACUAGCAAUUAUUGACAAACCUUUAGAAUAGGGUGAUAUUGUCAUGAUCUUGUAGAUGAAUCUUUUCAAGUCCUAUAAGUACUUCAUUAUAGUAUUGGAGUCUAUAAAGUUGAAAGUACUUACAAUGAACUACUUAAAGGCAAGACUUGCCUAUGAAGUGACAAAGAGGAAAGAAAAAGAGCUUCAAAGUGAAUAUUCAGCAGUCUAUUCAUGUCAAAGUAAGGACAACCUUUUAUAAUAAUGAGAUAAUAUCAAAAAUUGCUUCAUUUGUGGAAAACCAUGUCAUUUUGCAUGAAAUUACUACAAGCCAAAAAAGAAAAUAGAGAAAGUACCAACAAUGUAUAUGAGCAAUUUAAAAGAGAUUAUUUUAUAUUCGUGGCAAGUGAAGGUACUUUCAUGGCUGCUACAUCUAAGUGGAUUAUUGAUUCAGGUGCCAUCAAGCAUAUGAUACAAUACAAGUGUUCAUUUGAUACUUAUGAUUGCUCGUUUUAUUUAUUUCAGAAGAAACCUCCCUGCAUAAAUCCAUAUAGGAGGAUUCGAACACGGGGAAUGACUAGUUGCUUAAGCGUUCACGUUAAGGUUAUACAAUCAAUUACCUCUUGAAUGUAUUGUCUCUAUUUUUAAUAUCUGAACAUACAAAGAAACUAUAAUCUCCUCCUUCACCUUAUCGGUCUCUUCCUUACAACAAUUCUGUCAUACUAAUAACUGCUAUUUCUACCAAUAUAUUCAUCGUCAUAAUCUCCAACUAUAAUACUGCGCCCUCACAACUUUCAACACACAAUUACCCUCGUUCCAAUCACUAGAAUUCUUCACACAUAAUUGCCAUUCACGUUACAGUGUUUCACACAAACACAGACUUAUUCUCUCUGCUGAACUACAAUCAGAUUUCAGCAUUCAAUCUUUUUUCUUUUCAAAUAAUACCAAUCACAUUUCCAUUCCAUAAUUCACUUCACAAUAUUUAGAAACUCUCAAUCCUCUUAUUCAAAGAAAAUAACAAACAAAAGAAAAGAGGUAGCACCAAACUUAUCUCGGCUCAUACUAUCACAGCGAUGGUCUUCGGCUCAUGACUAUCACAGUCUAGCACCUUAAUUAAUUUCUACAACUCCUAUAUACUUUCCCCUGAUUCUUCAGAUUCUAAUCGUAAUUCUCUAAUUAACCACUUUUAAUAACUAAAUCACUCAUCCGUCCUCUUGAAUUUCCUAUUAUAUGGACUAUUAAUAUAUUUUACCAAUAUCUUUAAAAAAUGAAUUAAUAUCUAUUCUACAUAGCUCCACUCCUAUCUGUGCAGUGUCUUUGCAAACACUCAAUUGAUACCUAUCUAAAAAUUAUCUAACAAAUCUCCACAAAAAUUGUAAUCCUUCUGGUCUAUCUAAUUAAUCAAUUGCCACAGUAUCUAUUAUUGGUUCCACCGAUUCCGGUUCCAACUGCAAAUCUUCUUCUUCUUCCAAUCCUUCUAUCGACCUUUGCCUCAACUGAGCUGAAAGUCUUCAAUGUACUCGCCCAGUUCAUGGACUUGAGCCUCCAGUUUCAAGAUCUGGACAUCCCGAAGUUCCAAUUGUUGUUGCUACUGACUCAUCCAUUCUGGAAUAUCUUCAAUCGACACUUGUGACCAACUCCUCACUGUUAUGUCUUAACUGGAAUUACUACUCUCGAAAAUAUAAGAAUUAUAAGAAAAUGGCACUCCAGCCAACCCAAAACAACACCAUAGAAUGACUUUAAUUGGUGCCCCACUCCUAUUCUUUUACUACUUGGUGAUAAUGACAACAUGUUACCCAUACUGUCCAUGAAAGGUAAUGGGAAGUAAUCUUUCUUAGUAGCCAUAUUAAGUUUCCGAAAAUCCUGACAAUUUCCAUUUUUUUUCCGUACCAUCACGAUUGGUGACAUCCAUGCACUAUGCAAAACAUGAUAAAUAAAACCCAUGUCGAGAAGUUUAUCCAAUUCCUCUUUCACUAAAAGGGAAUAUUUUGGGUUAAGUCGGUAUUGUCUUUGACGAACUGGCGUAACACCCUCCUCCAGAAUAAUCUGGUGCUCACACACGUCAACUGAAAUCCCUUUCAAAUCCGCAUACGACCACGCAAAGGUAGAUUUGUGAUGGAUGAAAAACUAUUUUCAAGCAUCCAAUUCUAUACGAAUAAUACCGACAUAUAUUUUAAUUAGGUGUGGUAUUUUGUUGGUGCCGAGGUUAAUAGAUUGACACAUAAGGUCUUCAACAACCUCUGAUUUAAUUGUCUUCUCCUGAUCUGAAUAUCUUAUAUUAUCCGACAUAUGGGAACUACCAAAAUUUGGUUUCAAUGUGCUGACUCUAUUGACUGCAGAAUUGUUCAUCUAUUCGGCAAUAGCAUGAUCCGAGUUAGUCGUAUUCUCCUGAUGUAGUAAAUAUUCAUUGGGACUUCUACAUUGGUAGACUCAUGCCUUUGCUGUUGAGGUUUUUUGUCCUACCUCAAAUUGCGGUGAACCUAUAGCAUCGUCAUCUGCCUCAAUUGAUUGACUCUUGUUGUCCGAUGUAAAUUCUGAUUCUGGCAAUUGAGAUUCUCCAUAUUAUUGUACAGGGUAUAUCUGUAGAACAAUCUGGUCUUGACUUUUUUCAAUUAUCAAUGUGCCUCGGCCCCAAUCGUUCUUAGCUUUGGCUUGAUAAAGCCAUGGUCUACCCAAUAAAAUGGGAUACGAUAAUGUAGAACUCUGUAAUCGAAAUACAAUAUAAUCAAUUUUGUAUGUCAAUCCCACAAUUACAAUGGCAAUAUUGCGUAAGAUUUCCAUUGGCUUUAUCUGACUAUGAUCUGCCAUUCGCAAGACCAAUGUUGUAGGUAGCAAUUGCUUUAGAUCCAACUCCUCCAUUGUAUCCGCGUUCAUUAAAUUCACACUGGAGCCACCAUCGACUUGUAUCCCUGGAAUUAAAAUGCCAUCGAUUGAUACAUCGAUUGUUGGUGCUCCCGAAUCUGGGUUUAACCUAACUUCAUGAAUUUCUUUAGUACGAGAUCUUCGUCGUAUUAAUGUUGAAUUCAAUGUAGAUCGACAUUUCGGUGCUACAGCCAAAAGUUGCUUCAUUGUAAUUGAAGGCUGAAUAACAUCCAAAUCCUUCAGAAUGUCAUAGGGUUCCAUAUUGAGAGUAAUUCCCAAUGCUCUUUUGCGUUUCAUUGGUUUGAGUUUAACUCCGUGAGGUAAGAUAUUCUUCCGCCCUGGACUCAAAAUUGGAACAACAGCUGGGGCUUCUUUGGAAUUCUCACCCUCGAGAGGAUCUUUCAAUAGAUAAGACAUUUCUCGAAAUUGCGUAGAGAUCGGAACUACUUGUAACGGAACCGAAGCCUCCAUAAUUCGGACCUCAUUGGAUUCUGCCAUCGAGUCAGGUCUCAUACUGGGUACAAAGUCCGUAACAGGAUCUGGAUUGGAUGGUCCUAAUAAAUUGGCAUGUGGAACCGAAUUGGGUUCUUCAGUCUGUUGAGGUCUCAAUAUUGGCAUACGUCCCAAUACUGAUAUUGGUUCGUUUAGCCCCAUGGACGGCGCUACUUGCUCUCCUUUGAUCGGUUCAUUCAGGUCCUAAAUUAGAUUCUUAUCUUUUUGUUGGCCUUUGGUAAGCACUGCGUUCACCACCUCGACACAAUGUACUAGUGAGUCUCGUUGAACAGGACCUUUGUCCUCCGCCGGUUGGCUUGUUUGCAUUUGCUGGUCUCGGUUAUUAUAAUUAAAGGGCACAUUGCAUUGCUGAUAAGUGUGACCAGACUACUUACAAUUUCUACAUAUUAGAGCAUAGUCAUCACUGGCCCUUAGAUUAGGACAUUCACUCGCAUAAUGUCCGAUUUGUCUAUAACGGAAACAACGAAGUGGUCUUCUUGUACCCCCAUCAGGCAUAUUGGGUGCCUCCAUCGGUAUAUACCUACUAGGCUUGUUCCAUGUAGAGUUAGAAAAUGAUCUUGGUUGUCCCAUUGGUACUGAAGGAACUUGGUUUGAUGACGUUGGUGGAGCAUAUUGCUGAUACCUCUACUGCUCUUUUCCGUAGUUCUGGGGGUUCAAUGCAGAUCCCUGAUUAAAAUUGGAACUUUGAAAGUUAUUGAAUGCUCGAUUUUAUCGAUUAAAUCGAUUUCUAUUCCAUCCAAACAUAUUUCCCGUUUGUACUUGAUUGACGUCCCACUAGGUUGGUGGGAUCAUGGUCUGAUUACUAAAUUGUUGUUGUUGUCUUUGCCAAUUCCAACAAUUUGAUGUUAGGUGCUUUCCUCCGUAAAAUGUAUAUUGGUCCAUUAUUUGUGAGGGUGAGGGGCAUUCUGUUAUAGAAUGACCGUGGCCCUUACAAUUAUUGCACCAUACAUUGGUCUUAGUAUUGGUAGGCUUUUGCCUCUUCUCCUUAUCUUUGGCCAUAUUGACAGCCAUUUCCUCCAUUUUCUUCGUCAAAUUCAAUAACAAGGUUUCAUUGGAAUCUUUUAAGGCUGACAUUAUUGGUAUCUCUGCUGUAAUUAAUACUUGUUGUUGAUACAGAAAAUAUGGAGCAUACACUGUUGUCACGUUCGGUGGUAUAUCUUGUAAUGGGGUGACAUUAAUUGGCCCCUAAAUAUUGGUAUUGGAAUUGGCCCCUGUUUCUAACAUCUGUGGAUAACUACCCACUGAUUCGUUCCAAGUCGGAUUCUGAUAUCUACCUUGAAUUGGAAUUAUCAUGGCUCCCGCAGUUAAAAAUUGAUCAUAAUGGCAUUCCUCCCAAACCUUGGCUCUAUUAAGGGAUGUAGCCAUCGUAAUGGGUGGAGCUUCCUUUACAAACAUUUUUAGCUCUGGUGGAUGUAAACCAUUGAUUAAUAUGGAUAAGAUAAAUACCUUCGACAUUUGGUGAUUUGGCCACUUACUGAGUAUAUCAGCCACUCGGCCAUAGUACGAUUCCACCGCCUUCCCUAGGAUCAUUUUGCUGUUCAUUAACCUCUCUCGAAGGCAGUCCUCAAAACCAAUUGGCCAAAAACGAGAUAAAAAUAUAUUCUUCAAUGCUUCCUAAUUCAGAAAUUUACCCACUGGUUGGCAAUUGUAUUAUUCAAACGCCAUAUCUUUUAAGGUCGUUGACAGCCAUCGCAACCAAAUAUCUUCAGUUCUGCCAUUAUUAGCUACAUAUACUAUAAAAAACUGAGACAAAUGUUGAUCGGGAUUCGUACAUGAAAAUCCCCAAAAAAUAGGUAGUAACACGAUAUUAGUUGUACGAUUGUCUACUGCACCCAUUUGUACUGCAAUCAAAAUGACUGGUCUUCCUGAUGCCAUUGAAUUUCUUAUUCCGCUAAACUCCGUUUUAAAAUAAUCUCUACUUUCCCUUAUUCUAAUUUCAGAGCUCUCAGUGCUCCUCGAUUUACUGUUAUUUUCUGCAAUUAAUUUUAUUAGUUGAAUUACAGGUGAAAAUGUCAAAUUUUGAAAUAUAAUAUAGUUAUCUUUAUUGGCAACCAAUUUGUACCAAUUUGAAGAGCCACUAUUGCUUGUUUCAGUGAUACCCCGUACUGAAAAAAUACCCAAUGGAGUACCAAAUUCUUCUACCCCUCCUUCUCUUUCAGUUAACGACCUCAACAUUUCCACUGGAAUGUUAACAAAAAAUUUUUGCAAGUAUUUUUGGCAGUUUUUCUAAUGGUACAUACGACUACAGAAUUAACAGUCUGUCCGGUUCUUGAUAUGUUCGGAUGUGUCGACAAGCUUGCAACCAUGGUUUAAUCCAAUUCUGUCGAUGCUUCCUUUUAAGAUUACGUUCUUGCUCCUUUCUAAGCAACUUCCUUCCUUGCACUCUUUCCUGUCUUUCUCUCAACUGAUUUAUUUUUCUUGAUGCAAUGCUCUCGUUCUUAUUAAUCAUAAUCUUGCUUCAAAUACUACUGAAAUCGUCUUCUAUUGCCAAUUUUCUCAUACGUUUGGUAAUUAAUUCCUAAUACUCAAAGCUAUUAUCACUCCCUGGCAGUGGCACCAAAAUGUGAUUGCUCGUUUAAUUUAUUUUGGAAGAAACCUCCCAGCAUAAAUCCAUAUAAGAAGAUUCGAACACGGAAAAUGUCUAGUUGCUUAAGCAUUGUCGGGGUAGAGAGAGUUUGCCUCAAGAAAGCGCUAGACUUCUAGCUGUUACUAAAUACUCAAUCAAGUUUGGAAUAUAAGGGUGACAAUUUUAUAUAUAUAAACUCCUCUCCUUUGGAGCAAUUACAUCAAUAUACAAGCCUUAAAAUCCAAAGAACACCAAAAUACUUGAUAAGGUGUUAUAAAAAACUUAUAUAUCCUUAUGAGGAAUUUUUCCCGAAGUUCAACAGCUCAUAACUUACGAUCUAACCGUCUAAACAACUCCAAAUUUUACAUGGAGUACUAAUAUAUCUUUAGCAAAUACCACAUCAAAAUUCAACUGUAAAUUCGUCUUGAAUCUUGUGAUAUCUUGAAAACCCUAACUGUAGCUUCAAACCCUAGCUUUUUUACACCCGUGUACAACUUCCUUCAUAUCUCACAAAGUAAUUAUUCAAAUACUAUGAAACUUUGAUCUAAAGCUUUUUAACCCAAUUACACACACUUGUGAAAAUUUUGAGCCAAAAAUUCGUCCAAAAACUCAAGAUAUGGCUUCACCCAUAACUAGCAACAAAACGAUAUACUUACUGCCUUCAAAUUACAAGUGUUGUCUUCAAUGCCUCAUAACUCCUUCACCCAAUCUUAGAAUUCACUAUACAAUAAGUAGAAUGUGUAGCCGAGAAAAUGCUCCCUCCAAAUCCAGUCGCCGAUCUUCCGUUGCUCUCCGUAUUCGUAUGUGAUGCCCAAAAGAAGUGACAGUAGGUACGAAAUUGACACCUUAUCUUUGAACAUUCAUAUCUUUUCCAUAAAAACUCGAAAUCACACAAAAUCUUCACCCAAAUUAUACCCAAAAUCCUAAACCUUCUGACCCUAGCCUCAAAAGCUCGAAUGGCCUCGAAAGAGGAACCCUAAUUCCUAAUAUGGCCUCGGGCAGCCUCCUCAAAGCCCAUUGGGCAUGGUAUUCGACCAAUAGGGAUGAAGUUCUUCACCCCUUGCCUUCAUCCAACCAUGCCUUACUUUCAUCCUUCCCAAUAAGCCUCCUUCUAGUUAUAUUUUCAUCUUUUAACUCCUCCCUUCCCUUAAUCUUUAUACUAACUAUCUAAAUCUUAUAUAAUAUAAACUCUAUAAUCAAACUAGAUUAACUUCCAAAUAAUUUUUCUUAUUUCAAUUCAUUUUAAAUUAACAUACUAACUAUUCUAACUCACAUUAAGACUUAUAAACAUAUUACAUGUUUUCACUAAUUUUUACAUACUGUAAGUAAUUACAGUUCGACAACGUUCACGUUAGGGUCACACAAUCAAUUACCUCCUAAAUAUAUCAUCUCUAUUUUCAAUAUCUGAAUACACAAAGAAACUAUAAUCUUCUCCUUCACCUUAUCGGUCUCUUCCUUACAACAAUUCUGUCAUACCAAUAACUGUUAUUUCCACCAAUAUAUUCACCCUCAUAAUCUCCAACUAUAAUACUGCGCCCUCACAGCUUUCAACACACAAUUGCCCUCGUUCCAAUCACUAGAAUUCUUCACACAUAAUUGCCAUUCAUGUUACAGUGUUUCACACAAACACAGACUUAUUCUCUCUGCUGAACUACAAUUAGAUUUGAGCAUUCAAUCUUUUUUCUUUUCAAAUAAUACCAAUCACAUUUCCAUUCCAUAAUUCACUUCACAAUAUUCAGAAACUCUCAAUCCUCUUAUUCAAAGAAAAUAACAAACAAAAGAAAAGAGAUAGCACCAAGCUUAUUCCGGCUCAUACUAUCACAGCGAUGGUCCUCGACUCAUGACUAUCACAGUCUGGCACCUUCAUUAACUUCUACAACUCCUAUAUACUUUCCUCUGAUUCUUCAGAUUCUAAUUGUAAUUCUGUAAUUAACCACUUUUAAUAACUAAAUCACUCAUCCAUCCUCCUGAAUUUCCUAUUAUAUGGACUAUUAAUAUAUUUUAUCAAUAUCUUUCAAAAAUGAAUUAAUAUCUAUUCUACAAUACUUAUGAAGAAAUUUCAGCAAUAAAUAUCUUUAUGUGAGACAAUGGCAUGUUAGAAUAAGCUCUAUUAUAAAAGAGAUUGUUGUGAGAAGACAAACAAAAAGAAUCAGAUAGAAGGAUGUCUUGCAUAUAUCCAAGAUCAAGAAAAACCUCCUCUCUAUGAGUAAAUUAGUUUUACAUGGUUGUAAGAUGCAAUUUCAUAAAAAUGAGUGCUUUGUAAAGACAUUGGAUGGAGUUGAUGUUACCAAGGGCUUUAGAGAUGACAACCUUUAUUUCAUCAAGUGCAAGAUGUUGAAUGGAAUUAAAAUGGGUGCAUUUGUUGAGUUUCUACUUGAUCAAGACUUAUCAUCAAGUCAAGUUUUAACAUUUGGCAUCAAAGUCUUGGUCAUUUGAAUGCCAAGAGUAUGAAGGAACUCCAAUCCAUGGUAAGUGAUAUAGAUUUUAGUCAAUUUAGCCACAAUACCAAUAUAAUUACUUGUGAAGGUUGUAUUCAAAGUAAAUAAUUACAGAAUUGUGAAGGUUGUUUUCAAAGCAAAUAAUUACAGAAUCUAAAUAGAGUAGCAAUACGUACUAGCAAGUUGUUGGAGAUUAUAAAUUCAGAUGUUUGUAGACCUAUGAGAACGCCAUCAGUAGAAAGAACAUGGUAUUUUGUCACAUUCAUUGAUGAUUUUUCAAGGAAGAUGUGGAUUUAUAUCAUGAAAUGUAGGAAUGAAUGCUUUUUUAAAUUCAUCAAAUUUAAAGUACUUGUGAAAAAGUAAUUUGAUUGCAAGAUCAAGGUGUUGUACAUGGACGAUAGAGAUGAAUACAUCUCAAAGCAUUUUGAUGAGUUUUUAAAGAUUCAAGGCAUUGCAAGACAAACCUCUACUCUAUAUAUUCUAUAACAAAAUGAAGUUGCUAAAAGAACAAAUCGUACCAUUGUAGAGAUAGUAAGGGAUAUGCUACAUAUACAAAAUCUUGAGUUUGAGUAUUGGGUGGAAGCCAAGGUAACAACAAUAUAUAUAAGAAAUAGGUACCUUACAAGUAUACUUACAUCAAAAACUCCCAAAGAAGCUUGGAGUAGGAUGAAAUCUUGUAUUUCACAAAUAGAGACUUUUGAAUGCAUUGCCUAUACAAAGAUACCAGAUUGUAUGAGAUCCAAAUUUGAUGCAAAAGGUACAAAAUGUAUAUUUGUUGAAUAUUGUGAAGGCACCAAGGCAUAUAGACUAAUGGUUUUGAAUACCAAGAAGAUCAUCAAAAGUCAUGAUAUAGAAUUUUUGGAACAUAAGAGUACUUGUGAGCUUUUGAAGAUGUAUUUAAGUAGGAGUAAUAGUGUGUUUGUGGAUAUAUCUUCAAUUUCAGCAAAGAAAGAAAAAGAUGAUGAUAAUAAAGAUGGUGUGAAUGAAGACGAAGAAACAAUGAAGAUGAAGAAGAAGGCCUCUACAAUUCCUAGGACUAGCAAUGAAGAUGUUGAGGAUGUUAAAGAUGAUGAUGGUGAUGAGGAAUAUUAGCCUUUAAGUAAAAAAAGAUAAGAUUUAAGAAAGAAGAAGCUUGAAAGCAAGCAUGGAAUACAACAAGAUGAAUCAUCUUCAAAUAAAAAGAAAUAUCCUUUGAAAAAUAGAAAAAAAAUUAAUGAAUAAUAGAAGAACCACAUCUUUUCUCAAGUAAGUGAAGAAUAUGCCAAUAUUGCACUUCUUACUGAUUUAUUAAAUUUGUGUGAUGCAAUAAUGUCCAUAGAUAUAAUAAAGUAGGAAAAGGCGAUGGAAGAUGAAUACAAAUCACUCAUGGAGAAUGGAACAUGAGAAUUGACUCAACUUCCUCUAAAUCAAUCUUCAAUUGGUUGUAAGUGGGUGUUUAGAAUCAAAAGGAUUACGAUGGAUAAUAUUUUUAAAUAUAAGGUAAGAUUAGUUGCCAAAUGCUAUUCACAAGUUAUUGGUGUUGAUUUCAAUGAGAUAUUUGCUCCCAUGGCCAAAUUCACCACUAUUACAACCAUUGUAGCAAUUGGAGCAGCUAUAGACUUGGAGAUGCAACAAAUAAAUAUGAAGAUGGCUUCUUUAAAUGAAAAGUUAAAAGAAGACAUCUACAUGGAUCAAUCUCAAGGAUUUAUUGAAAAUACCAAACAACACCUUGUUUAUAACUUGAAAUAAUCCUUGUAUGAAUUAAAACAAUCACUAAAAGUAUGGUACCAAAGUAUUGACAUAGUAUUUAUGAAUGAGAGAUUUGUAAGUAGUAAAGCUAAUUAUUCUUUGUAUGUGAUGCAAUCAAAUGAAUUUAUAUUGAUUUUCAUCCUCUAUGUUGAUGAUUUGAUUAUAUUAAGUAACACCAUGAAGAAAAUGGAUUAAUUGAAGGCAAAAUUAGAGGAAGAGUAUGAGAUGAAUGACUUGAGUGAAUUCCAAUAUUAUUUAAGAAUAGAAUUUAUAAGAGAUUGUGGUAAUAAGACCAUUAUAAUAAGCCAAAGCAAGUACAUUGAAGAAGUGUUGAAAUAAUUGAAUAUAGAGGAUUGAAAGCCCAUUGAAACACCUUUAGAAGCCAACUUGAAGUUGAUGAAGCUCACAAAUGAGGAAUUUAUUGAGUUUGAAGAUGAAAUGAAAGAUGUUCCAUAUAAAGUAGUAGUAGACUCACUCAUUUAUGUAAUGGUUGGUACAAAGAUAGAUCUUGUAUAUGUAAUGAGUGUUAUGAGUCAACACAUAUCAAAGGCUAGAUCAAUCCAUUGGAUAACCAUCAAAAGGAUCAUGACAUACUUAAAAGAUACUUUAAACUUCAAAUUGUAUCUUGAAAGGAAUAAUAUUGCAUUACAUGGUUAUUAUGAUGCAGAUUGGACUAAAAAUGUAAAUGUUAGAAGAUCAAUAAUCGAAUAUGUGUUCUUUGUUGGAGUGGAAGCAAUCUCAUGGAAUUGCAAGAAACAACCAAUAAUUAUAAGAUCUACAAUAGAGCAGAAUAUAUGGCAGUAAGUCAUAGUACAAUGGAGGCAAUUUGGCUGAGACAAAUUUUAGAAGACAUUAGACUCGUGCAAAUAGAAGCAAAUCCAAUGAAGUGUGAUAAUCAAAGAUGUCUUACUUUUGUAAAGAAUCCAAAGCAUCACUUAAGAAUCAAAUAUAUUGACGUUCAACAUCACUUUUUAAGAAAUAAGAUUGAAAUAGAAAUAAUUGACAUAAAGUAUUGUACAACAUAAAACAUGCUUGUUGAUUUACUCACAAAAGUACUAAUGAAGAAUAUGCAUCAAAAAUUAAGGACACUAAAAUUAAUAGCCUUUGAUCAAUAGCAAAGUGGGAGUAUUAAAAUAAAUAAGUAUUAUUAUGGACAUGAUAAAUUAAGAAAGUAUUAUCUUAAGUAAGUUGAUAAUAGUAAAAAAGUAAAAAAAAAUAACUAAAGUAGCGGCUAGGAUUUAAUUGAGAGUUAAGUUAAGUAGAAUCUAGGAUUUCAUUAAAUAAAGCAAAGGUGGAUGAAGAUGAAGUUCAGCCAUAAUAAAUGUAAAUACCAUAUAUAAAUGAAAGAUGUUGGAAGUGAGAGGUAUCUCAUUCCAUACUUUUCUUAUGUGCAAUCUUGUUGAUUUUUACUUACUUGUGUCUUGUUUGUUGUAUUUCUUCAAUAGAAGUAGCAACUAGUAGUCACAAUAGUUUAAUAAUAUUUGAUCUGAUUAAAUCUCUUUUUAAUCCAAUUAUUUUAAGAUUAUUAUAAUUAAAAAGAUAUAACCUUUAGAUAGAUUGGAUUUCUCGCAAUCUUGAUUUUUUCCAUAGUUUAGCUCAAGGUCCUACUAGGAAAGUAGAAAUUCAUAAGUCUAGUACACUCAAACCAUUAUUGGUAGGUGUGAGAACUUUCAUGCAUGUUACAAAUGAAGGACCAUCUUUUGUUAUAUAUGCCAUGCCUAUUGUAGAUGGUGUGAAGAUAUCAAGUAGUAUUCCUAGACAAUAUCAAGUUUUUUAAGAUAUUUUUGAAAAAAAGCAUAUAGAUAUUCUUUCAGAGUAUUAUUCUUAUGAUUAUUUCAUUGAUCUUGAAGAAAAAACUCAACCAUCAUUUGGAUCAAUUUAUAGCCUAUCACAAAAUGAGUUGAUUGUACUCAAAGAGUAUAUUAAUGAGAAUUUGGCUAAGAACUUUAUACCCUAUUCUAAUUCUUCAACCGAGGUUCUUAUUUUAUUUGUGAAGAAAAAAAAUGGAUCUUUGCGGAUGUGUGUAGAUUAUCAAAGACUUAAUAAGAUCACCAUUAAGAAUAGGUAUCCUCUACCUUUGAUUUUAAGACUUCUUGAUCAACUAAAUCAAGAAAAACUCUAUACAAAAAUAGAUCUAUAAGAAGCAUAUAAUUUGGUCUGCAUCAAAGAAGAAGAUGAAUAAAAGAUUACUUUCCAAACUAGGUAUGGAUAUUUCAAGUAUAAUGUCAUGCCUUUUGGAUUCACAAAUGCACCAACUACUUUUCAACAUCUAAUGAAUGACAUCUUUAGUAAGUUUCAUGAUGAUUUUAUUAUCUAUUAUUUGGACAAUAUUUUAAUUUAUUCUAAAAAUAUAUAAGAACAUAAAUUUUAUAUUUGUUGUGUCUUAUAAAAAUUAAGAGACAAAGAAUGACAUGUGAAGAUGAAAAAGUGUAUAUUCUUUAUUAUUCAAGUAGACUUUUUGGGAUAUAUCAUUUCCAAUAAAAGCCUUAUGAUGGAUCUAAACAAAGUCCAAACUAUUAUAGAUUAGAUUUCAAGAGUAAUAAAAGUUGUGCAAUACUUUUUGGGCUUUAUCAAUCACUAUUGAAUCUUUAUUAAGAAUUUAUCUCAAAUUACAACUCCACUUACAUGUUUGACUUGUAAAGACAAAUUUUAGUAGAAUAAAGAAGCCAAAACAUCAUUUGUUGCUAUAAAGAAAGAAUUUACUUCUGCACCAACUUUGUAUCAUAUCAACUUUUCUAAGGCAUUCUUUAUGGAAAGAAAUGCAUUAAAGUUUACCUUGGGUACAAUAUUGUCAGAAAUGAAAAAACUUGACAAACUCCAUCUUGUAGCUUUCCAUUCCAAGAAAUUUUUAGCAAUUGAGAUUAACUAAUAGAUCCAUGAUAAAGAACUUCUUAAAAUUAUGGAUUCAUUUUAAGAAUGGCGUCAUUAUCUAGAAGGUGCUUCAAGUCAAAUUAUAGUAUAUACAAAUUACAAGAACUUCAAGUAUUUUAAGUUGGCUUAUGUUUUGAAUUGUCACCAAGCCCGUUGGAGUAUGUCUUUAUGAAGAUUUGAUUUCAAGAUUACAUAUAAACUUAAAAAAAAACAAGGUUUAUCAAAUGUUCUUUUUAGACGCUCUCAUCUUGCACCAAAAGAAAGAGACGUAUCUUUUUAUCAACAAAAAAUAAUCUUCUUGAAGGCAAAGAAUUUUUAUCUUUAAGUAAUGAAAUCAACAUUAAUUGUUGCUUUGACCUUUGUCAAACAAAUUCAAUCAAAUAUAUCCUUUCAUCUUUUUGUUCAUAAUAUUGAAAAUCUUUCUUCUAUGUCUUAUAAUGUUCUAAAAUUCGAGUUCAAAAACAACCUAUUCUAUUUUGAAAGACACCUAUAUAUUCCAAAAAGAGAAGUAUGUUUACGUUGUUGUAUUGUGGUUUAGCUACCAUGUGAAAAUAAUUGGUUUAUAUGUUUAAUACACAAUAUAUUAGACAACAUGGUGAAAGCCAUAUUAGUAGAUUUUUGUUGAUUAUAGGAUGUAGAUAGAUUACUAGCUCAAAAAGAAGUUGUUUAAAAGAUCUUCUAUUAGAAUUUAUAUGACUUUAUUUUCUUUUGAUAGUGACUUUGAAGUUGAUCUUAUUAGUAGUAAGUUUUAAAUAUUUAGAAUCACCUUUGUUAGAUAUUGGUGAUCAUUAAAGUCUUAUUUUGUUUCUUUUAUAUGGAGUUUAGAGCAUAUAUUGUGUAAAUCUUGUAAAGAAAAGUGUUAGAGAGGGAUUUUGGUAGCAAAAAGAGAAUUUAAGGCAUCCAUAUGGAUGAAUGGAGAUGGAUAAUAAAAAUCUCCAUUCUUAUUGGUCAAAAAUCAUGACCAAUGGGCUUUAAAGAGGCUGUCUGAGGCCAAAUUAGGGAUUAGAAUUAUACUUUUGAGCCAUUUGAGCUUUUGAAGACUAGAAUCAAUAGGAUCAAGAUUUUGACUAUAGUUUUGGUUCACAUUUUGAGUCAAUUAGAGUUUUUAUGAAGAAGACAUAGGCGCUCAAAGUCGACGUAUUGAUCUUGUACAUACUGUUGUUUUUUUGGAUAUAACAUAUGCAUACAGAAAGCAAUAGAGGAUCGGCAAUUGAGGUAGGAAAGAACACUUUUUUGUCUAUAGUUUUGGCAUACUAUUUGAUGGAUUCCAAGUUGGAAUAAAGGAGAUAUUGGAGGUUGAAAUCAGCGCUUACAAAUCUAAGAGAAGUAACUGAUCCGAUUCAUUAGUAAUUGUAUUUUAAGCUAUAUCUUGAGUAAUUUGAUAAGUUUUUGUCUCAAAAUUUCUAAAAAUAUAUAUAAUCAUGUUCAUAAACUUUAUGUAUAAAAUUUUUAGUAUUUUGAUUUCGGAUUUGUGAGAUAUGAAGAAAAUAGUACUCAAGUGCUUGUGAAUUAGGAUUUGAAGCACCUGCCAGGGUUUUUGAGAUACUUGACAAUUGGUAGCAAAUUUACAUUUGAAUUUUUUUGUAGUAAUUUUUAAGGAUAAGUUCUAUAUUAUUUGUAAAUUUGACAAAAAUAAAUUAUUGAUUCAAGAAAUAUGAAUUUCUAAAGUUCAUGAAGAAAAAAAUCUUUGUAGAAAACAUAUGUUUUGAACGAGUUUUAUUAUAAUUUGAGCAUUUUAUAUAACAUAAAGGGAUUUUUGGAAGUCAAGACUUUAUAUAUAUGUUGAAGAUGGAUAUUUGGAGCUAUGAUUAAAUUUUGAUAUAAAAAUGAGUUUUUGAGAGGAGAUUAUGGAUUUUCUUUGGAAUUAUUGAAAAUCUAACUUACUAGCAAAUGGUUUCUUAUGAUUUGGUAUAACUAAGAAUAUUAGGAAAUUCCUAGAUAUUUUAGAAAGCCUUAUAUAUAAACCUUUUUAAAUAUAAAAGUUUUUAUUAACAUGAUAUCUUUUUGAUAUUGUAAUAUUUAUUUAUCUUUUACUUAAAUGAUUAAAUAUCUUAUUGGAGCUUUGCUAAUAAGUUAAAAAUAAACUUUUUACAACUAGAUAUCUAGUAUAUUCUAAGAUAAAAAACCAUGAAAUAUGACAAUGUAUUCUUUAAGCAUGUCAAGACUUUCUAGCAGCAUGACAUUUUGGAUACAACAUUUUAAAGCUUAUAUCUAUAGAUUUUUAAUAGCCGCAAAGGUAGAAGGUGAUAAAAGACUUUGUCCAAUCAUAUGAUGUUUGUUCAAGAUCAAAAAUUCCUCGUCAAUAAUCCUAUAGACUUCUUCAACCAUUGCCUAUACUUAGAUAAUCAUGGUCUUCUAUUCUAUAAAUUUUAUUAUACAUCUUUUAGUUUUAAGUUCAUAUGAUUUUAUAUUUGUAAUUAUAGAACGCUUCACCAAAGUGGCAUAUUUUGUACUAUGUAUAAAAUCUAUUUUAGAUAAAAAAAAAAAAAAAAAAAAAAAUAGCUAAGCUUUUCAUUGACAAUAUAUAUUGCUAUCAUGGAUUAUCAAAGGAUAUUAUAUUAGAUAAGAGGACUCAAUUUGUAUCAAGAUAUUCAAAAACUCUAUUUAAGAUUUUAAAGAUAGAUAUAAAGCUCUCUUCGACUUUUCAUCCUCAAAGUGAUAGGAAAAUGAAACAUGUGAAUGAAAUUUUGGAGCAAUAUUUGAGGUGUACCAUCAACUAUGAUCAAGAUGAUUGGACAAUUUUUUUUCCAUCAUUAGAGUUUGUAUACAAUAAUUUGGUACACUCUUCUACUCAAAAAAUAUCUUUCUUUGCCAAUAAUGGUUAUCAUCCAUGGCUUGAUACUUUUGACUUUUCAAAAUUUAAUAAUUUUAUAAUAAAAGAUUUGGCAAAUCCUUUAUCAAAGCUACAUGUAAUAAUGAAGAGACAAUUAAAGGAAGCUCAAGAAUAACAAAAGACCAAUGCGGAUGCCUAUUGUAAAGAAUAAUCAUAAUUUAAUGUAGGUGAUAAGAUAUGAUUACUUCGUCACAAUAUCAAGAUUACUUGUCUUUGUGAUAAGUUGGACUAUCAUAGGCUAGAACCUUUUUAUAUAUGUGAAGAAAUCAAUCAUGUUGCUUAUCAUUUAUAUCUAUCGAUGUCUAUGAAGAUCCACCUUGAAUUUCAUGUAUCUCUUCUUUAGCCAUUUGAAAUAGUGAAUAUCUCAGAAAGAAGACAAAUGCCACCUCUUCCUAUGGAAGUAGAUAAUAAUGAAAAAUUUGAGAUAGAAGAAGUCUUGAUUAAAGGCAAACCAAAAUAGGACAGAAUAUCUUAUUUUUUGGUGUGGAUAUGAUAUUAGUGAAUGGACAUAGGAGCGAGUAAAGAAUCUUGCAAAUACAACAAAGAGAGUUAAAGCUUUUCAUCAAUGACAUCCAUCAAAACUAAGAUGAAUAAUAAUAAAUCUUUGCUAUAAUGAAACAAGAUUAAAGGAUGAUAAUAUUCUACCUUUUAUCUUUCUUUGUAACUUAUGUAUAUUUGUGAUGCUAAGAAAAUGGAGAAUCAACAACUUAUCAAGGACAAGAACUUGAUAAAAAUAAAUAAACAAGUAAGUCUUUUUUCAAAGAAAGAUGACAAAAUAGAAAUAACUAAAUAUGUAUAUUAAAAACGAAGCUGGAAUGGCUAUUGUCAAAAGACAAGAAAACUAUAGACCCUUGAAACUAGACUAGAAGCAAGAAAGAAGUUGACAAGAAUGAAGAGGGCUUCAUUCUUCCCUCUAUAUAUACUAUCUAUUUAGGAGCUAUGUGGCGAUGUUCUAUAGGAUCUCCAAAAAUGUGUUGACUUUGUACAACACAUAUCUUAACUUACAAGGUAAGUUUUCUAUGUGUGUGCCACAUAGCUAACUUGUUCCACAAGCUACCAACAUGUGUGGCACAUGGUUAACUUGUUGACCAAAUUUCUAACCUACAAAUAAAGUAUAAACACAUGUAAAGUCAAAGCAACAUCUAUAAAGCUUCUAAGAAACUUCUCUAGAAGAUAUUAUGAAAUUAAUCUACCUUUAUUUACCUCUACAUAUUCAUAUCACUUAAGUAACAAUUAUAGUAAAUAUAUGCUUGUGACAUUAUCCCCCCUUUUAGAGACGAGCUCCACGAGGAGUGGUGAUCAUAUGUCGAGAAAGUCUAAGAUAUGGCAAAUUGUAUUUGCCACAUACUCUGAUCUUUGUUCUCUUUGAAGAUAAUUAAUAGGGCCUCUCAAGCAUUGAUAGUGUCCCAUAUCAGGGCGGGAAGACCACCUAGUUAUUUGAUCAUUAUUGAGGCCUUCAUAACUUCCUUCAAAUAAAAUAUUUGGAACACUGUUAGGAGUUGUUUCUACCUUUAGUAAAAUCACCAAACAUUGGGAGUCUCUUCCAAGGUCGAGAUACCAAACGCAUUGUAUCUUGCCAUUUAUUCCAAGAAAAAUAUGUUGUUCUUGAGGAUCUUCAUCUCGAUUGCAUCAUCUUCAAGAUUGUAAUAAUUAUAAUGUCUCGUUCGAUAAGUCAGCAAACAAAGGCUCUUGAGUCGAAUCCACUGGUUGUUGGUUCUCUAUCUUCUCAGUGUCACAACUACAAAAAAGUUACAAACAAGAAUUGAAAGUAGAAUGUUAUCUUCCUUAGAUCUUGUUUCUUUUAUAAAGAAGGUUUUCAUCUUGAUUUCGAUGGAUGUCGUCGAUGAAAAGCCUCCACUGCCUUUUUUGUAUUUCUAAGAUUCUUCAUUGGCUCCCAUGUGCAUUCACUAAUAUCAUAUCUACGUCAAUGGAUAAGAUAUUCUAAUUUAUUUUGGCGUCGCCUUGAAUCUAGGACUUCUUUUACUUUGAAUUCUUCAUUAUUACCUAUUUCUAUAGGAGGAGAUAGAGCUUGUCUUUUUUUUUAUAUGUCUAUUGUCUUGUAUGGUUCAAGAAGAAAUACAUGGAAUACUGAAUGGAUUUUCAUUGACUCCGGUAGGUGUAAAUGAUAUGCAACUAGAUUGAUUUAUACAAAAAUAAAAAAUGGUCCAAGCUUUUGAUAUUCCAACUUGUCACAAAUACGAGUGGUCUUGAUAUUAUGACAAAGUAACCAUACCUUGUCACCCAUGUGGAAUGGUGGUUGUUCCUUUCGAUAGACAUCCGAAUUGAUUUUUUUUUCUUGAGCUUCUUUUAAUUGCACCUUCAUUAUUGCAUACAGCUCUGACAAAUGAUUUGGCAAAUCUUUUGCCACAAGAUUAUCAACUUUUGAAAAGUCAAAAGUAUCAAGUCAUGGAUGAUAAUCAUAAUUGAUAAAGAAAGGUGUUUAUUUUCUAGAAAAAUGUAUCGUGUUAUUAUAAGCAAACUCUGCCAAUGACAAAAGAGUUAUCUAAUCAUCUUAUUAGUAGUUGAUGUUACAUCUUAAAUACUACUUCAAAACUUCAUUAACACAAUCCGUUUGUCCAUCAGUAUGAGGAUGGAAUGCCGAAGAUAGUUUUAUAUCCACUUUUAGAAUUUUAAAAAGAGUCCGCUAAAAUCUUGAUACAAACUGAGUUCUCCUAUCUGAUAUAAUAUCCUUGGAUAAUCCAUGAUAGUGAUAGAUAUUGUCAAAAAAGAGCUUAGAUAUUUCUUCACAUAUGAUAGAUUUUGUACAUAGUACAAAAUGUGCCAUAUUGGUAAAACGAUCUACUAUUACGAAUAUAGAAUCAUAAGAACCUGAGAUUGAAAGAUCCAUAAUGAAAUCCAUAGAAAUAGGAGACCAUGGUUGUUCUAGAAUAGGUAAUGGCUGAAGAAGUCUAUAAGGUCGAUAACAAGUUUUUGAUCUUGAGCAAACAUCACAAGAUUGUACAAAAUCUUUGACUUCCUUCUACAUUUGAAACCACCAAAAAUCCUUGGAUAUUAGUUCCAAAGUUUUAUUGUACUUAAAAUGUCCUUCUACUGAAAAGUCAUGACGAGCUUGAAGAACACGUAAUCGAGCUUCAUCUUCUGAAACAUAUAAGCGUCCCUUGAAAUAUAGUAGAUUAUUCUUGAAUUCAAACUUCGAAGUAACAUGAGACUUUGAAGGAUUUUUCACAAUAUCACGAAUAAGAGGAUCAAAAGACAUACUUGACUAAACUUGCUUAAUGAAAGUUGAAUCAACAAUUAGUGUUGAUUUCAUUGCUCAAAGAUGAAGAUGCUUUGACUUCAAGAGAAUUAUCCAUUGUUGAUCAAAAGUAAUAUCUCCUUCCUUUGGUACAAGAUAAGAUCGUUUAGAGGGUGCAUCUAAUAAACCUUGUUGUUUUUCCAAUUAAUAAGUGAUCUUGAAUUUGAAUGUUAAUAAAGAUAUAAUCAAACGAGCUUGGCAAUGAUUCAAAACACGUACUAACAUAAAAUAUUUAAGAUUCUUGUGAUCCGUAUACAUGGUGACUAGACUAAAAGUACCUUCUAGAUAAUGGCCCCAUUCUUGAAACAAAUCCAUAAUUGUAAGAAGUUCUUUGUCAUGGAUCUCAUAGUUAAUCUCGGCUACUGAAAUUUUUCUAGAAUGAAAAGCUAUUGGAUGAAGUUUAUCAUCUGUUCCAAUUUGUGACAAUAUGGCAUUGAAAGCAAAGUUUGAUGCGUCUAUUUCUAUAAAAAAUGGCUUAAAAAAAUUGAUGAAAUAUAAGAUUGGUGCAGAAACAAAGGUUGUCUUCAAAGCUUCAAAUACUACUUCCGCUUCUUGAUUCUAUUGAAGUUUGUCUUUACAAGUCAAACGUAUAAGUAGAGGUGUAACAUGAGAAAAGUCUUUCAUGAAGAUCCAGUAAUAGUUAGCAAAUCCCAAAAAUCAUUGGACAUUUCUUACCAUUUUUGAAAUCUUUCAAUCCAUAAUAGCUUAAACUUUUUUAGGAUUGAUUAUAAGUUCAUCAUUUGAAAUGAUGUAUCCUAAGAAGUUGACUUGAAUAGUAUGAAAUAUAUUCUUUUCAAUCUUGGCAUAGAGUCCCGCAUCUCUUAGUUUUUGUAAUACAUGACGAAUAUGAAGUUCAUAUUCUUCUGUAUUCUUAGAAUAGAUUAAGAUGUCGUCUAGGUAACAGAUAACAAAAUCAUCUAAAAACUCCCAAAAGACAUUAUUCAUUAGAUGUUGAAAUGUUGUUGGUAUAUUUAUAAGUCCAAUAGGCAUGAUGUUAUAUUUGAAAUAUCCAUAUCUUGUUCGAAAUUCAAUCUUCCAUUCAUCUCAUUCUUUGAUGUAUAUUAGACUGUAUGCUCCUCAUAGAUCUAUUUUUGUAUAGAUCUUAGCUUGAUUUAACUAAUCAAGUAAUUUAGAUAUCAAACGUAGCGGGUACUUGUUUUUUAUGGUGAUUUUCUUGAGUCCUCAAUAAUCAAUACACAUCUACAAUGAUCCAUCUUUUUUCUUCACAAAUAAAAUUGGAGCUCAUGUUGAAAAUUUGGAAUAGUACAUUAAGUUCUUGGCCAAAUUUUCUUCAAUAUACUCCUUGAAUUUAGCCAACUCAUUUUGUGAUAAAUUGUAGAUUGGUCCAAAUGGCGGUUGUGCUCUUUCUUGAAGGUCAAUUGAGCAAUCAUAGGAACGAUGUUCCGGAAGAAUAUCUACAUUCUUUUUUUCAAAUACAUCUUGAAAAUCUAAAUAUUGGCUUGGAAUGCCACUUGAAGUCUUUCCACCAGUAGAAACAAGUGCUAUAUAAAUAACACAUGGUGAUCCUUCUUUUGUAACAUACAAGAAAGCUCUUGCAUCUACAAAUACAUAUUUAGUUGUACUAGACUUAUGACUUUCUACUUGGUUAACUAUAUUCUUAGUUAUACUUUCAAAAAAAUGAAGACUACGAGAAGUCCAAUCUAUUUUAGGAUUAUAUUUUUUUAGCCAUGAUAAACCUAAAAUGACUGGAUUAGAGGGAGAUCUAAUAAUAUUAAAUAUUAUAAAGCUACUAUGUCCAUUAGUUGAUACUUCUAUAAGAAAGAUUUCAUGAAUAACAUCUCUUGAAGACAACAAACGACCAUCUAUGACUUCUACAUAAACAGGUUUAGUUUUCUUCACUAAUAUUAUGUUAUGUCUUUUAGCAAAUUCUUCAUCUAAGAAACAUGCUGAGACUCCUCAAUCUAACAAGGCAGAGGCUUUGUGAUGUUUAGGUCCUAAAAUAACAUUUAUCUUAAAACAAGGAAAAGAUUCUUAGGAGAGAAUAGAACCUUCAGUAGAUGUUGUAUAAGGUUCUAGCCACACAUUCUCUAUUGUAAUUGGACAAACUCGUUUUUUGACAUACUAUCUUUUUUGAUAGUUGUACUCUUCAUUUUAUAGUUGCAUCACUUCUUUGGGCAAUGUUGAGCAGUGUGCUUAGGUUUUCUACAAUAUAAGCAUAAUCCUUCCUGACAACAAUGUCUCUUUUCUUGCUCAGUAAGAGGUUUGAAACAUAUCACAUCAAUUUGCAUAUCUUCUACUCCCGAAUGUAUGUGUUGAAGAGAUGAUGGUAUUGCCAUUGAAUUAUAGUAAUGUUAAGGUCUACUUGUAUGGUUCUUAGAUCGAAAUUUAAAAAGACAAUUGUUGCACUUCACAGCGAAGUCAAUUGCUUAAUUCAAUGUUUAAGAAUUAGAUAAGUUGAGCAUUAAUUUUUUUACCUCAUAUUGUAAUCCUUAGAGAAAUUGGCUAACAAGUGCAGCACCAUUCCACUUGAUAUCAGUUACAAGUUGUCAAAACUGUGAAUCAUAUAACGUUAUUAAUCCAUUGCCUUAUCACAAAAUAUGGAUCUUGUUGGUUGCAACACGAAUUACAUCAUGUUCUCCAUACAUUGAUCAAAACUUUGCCAAAAAAACCUCCAGAUUAUCCAAUAUUAGAUCUCAUUGUUCAAGAAAAGAUAAAAACGAUGAUAAUGCUGAAUCUGAAAGAAGUGUAAUAAUGAAUCUAACUUGUGAUCUUAGAGUUGGAUAGCUUUGGAGUUGAAGUUCAACCACAAGUUGUACUUGAUUGAUAAAUCCUCUAAACUUUGAUCUGGUGCCAUGAAACUUCUCGAGUAGGGUAAUUCUUGGUUCUCUAAUACUAGAAGGAUGUUCUGUCAUAGGAAAAGAGAUAUGAUUUAGUACAGAUGUUGAAGCAACUUCAAUCAUUUCUAUAUCUUCACUUCUUGCCAAUCUUGUUGCUCUUUGUAGUAGUAAAUUAAAUGAAUACAUUGCAAGCAUUAACUUCCUUAAUUGUUCUUACAUUUGUACCAUUGUACUCUUUAUUUUAGCAAGUUCUGCCAUGAUAAUACUUAGAAAAGAGGAGAUGUCUAAUAUCGCUCAAGAUACAUAAAAAAGAAGACUUAAAAACAAAGAAAAUACUAAAAAUAAUAUUAGUUUAGAAGAGGGUAAUCUGCAACUUCUAAUAUGUUAUGUCUUAUGAAGAGAAAAGAAUAAUCCACUCUUAAUCAAGAUUAGACAAAGCUCUGAUAUUAUAAGUGCAUUCUUGUCAAUCUAUCAAGAACAAGAACUUGAUAAAAAUAAAUAAACAAGUGAGACUUUUUUCAAAAAAAGAUGACAAAAUAGAAAUAACUAAAUAUGUAUAUUAAAAAAGAAGCUAGAAUGGCUAUUGCCAAAAGACAAGAAAACUAUAGAUCCUUGAAACUAGACUAAAAGCAAGAAAGAAGUUGACAAGAGUGAAGAAGGCUUCAUUCUUGCCUAUAUAUAUACUAUCUAUUUAAGAGCUAUGUGGUGACGUUCUAUAGGACCUCCAAAAAUGUGUUGACUUUGUACAACACAUAUCUUAACUUACAAGGCAAGUUUUCUAUGUGGGUGCUACAUAGUUAACUUGUUUCGCAAGCUACCAACAUGUGUGGCACAUGGUUAACUUGUUGAUCAAGUUUCUAACCUACGAAUAAAGUAUAAACACAUAUAAAGUCAAAACAGCAUCUAAGAAGCUUCCAAGAAGCUUCUUUAGAAGAUAUUAUGAAAUUAAUCUACUUUUAUUUACUUCUACCUAUUUAUAUCACCUAGAUAAUAAUUAUAGUAAAUAUAUGUUCAUGAUACAACUAGUAGAUUCAAUUCAAGUGUUUUCAUUUCCGGACUUACCAAAUAAAACAUUGCGAUUGUCACAACUUUUAAGAUGAUGAAAUCAAAGUAAAGAUUCUCAAGAAUGAUAUAUCUUUCCUCAAAUACAUAGCAAGUUAUAACAUGUUUGGUAUCACAACUUUGAAAGAGAGUCGUGAUGUUUGAUAAUUUUAUUAGAGGUAGGAACAAUUCCUGAUGGUGUUCCAAAUAUUUUAUUUGAAUGAAGUUACAAAGGCCUUAACAACAAUCAAAUAACAAGGUGAUCUUCUCGCCCUGAUAUGAGACACUAUCGAUCGUUGAGAGGACCUAUCAAUUAUCUUUGAAGAGAACAAAGAUCAAAGUAUGUCGCAAAUAUAAUUCAUCACAUCUUAGAUUUCCUCAACAUAUGAAGAUUGCUCUUCUUAGAACUCAUUCUUAGAAGGGAGGAUAAUGUCACAAACAUAUACAUUUAUCUUAAUAAUAAGUGAUAUGAUUAGGUAGAAGUAAAUAAAUAUAGAUUAAUUUCAUAAAGUCUUCUAAAGAAGCUUCUUUAAAGUUGCAUAAACAUGGUUUUGACUUUGGAUGUGUUUGUAGAUUAGAAACUUGGCCAAUAAGUUAACCUCGUAUUAGAAGCUUGUGGAACAGUUUAACCUCGUAUUGGUAGCUUAUGAAAGAAGUUAAUUCCGUGUAGUAACUUAUGGAAUAAGCUAACUAUGUGGCGCAUACAUAGAUAACUUGCCUUACAAAUUAAGACAUGCGGCUAGCAAAGUCAACACAUGUUGGAAGUCCUAUAGAACAUUACAUUAUAGCUCCUACUUAGAGAGUAUAUAUGGAGGCAAGAGUGAAGCCUUCUUCACUCUUGUCAAUGCCUUUCUAGUCCUUAGUUUUGUUCCAAAAUUUAUUAGUCUUCUUAUUUUUGGCAAUAACCAUUCUAGUUCAAUAUUUUAUCAUCUUUGAGUGAUUUUUUAGUUCCUUUCAGUGAUACAUGAGUGUAUUAAAGAUUUUCUUUUCUUGAGAUUCAUAUCCUUAAUAGAUACUAAAGAAGACACUUUUAAAUAUUAUUAAAUAAAAUUAAUAUUAUAUAUAUAUAUAUAUAUACAUAUUUAAUUUAUAAUAUUCUACAUUACAUCCAUCAUUUACAUAAAAAUAUAAUUAUGAAUAAUUGCAAUAAACAUAUUUAAACAGCACACAUUUCUACCAUCAUACUUCUUUUUAUAAUUUUUCCUAUAUUUCAACUACAAGAAUAAAAUUUACAAUCCUCAAACUUUUAUCCGCUUAUGUAUCUCUUCACUUAAAUUCCAGUAGAUCCUGAUUUGGGGAACAUUCACGAAACUGAACUCCAGAGGUCAUUACGCUCCCAAAGCCUGCCUGAGAAGGGUGUUUUGGUCGGUAGGGCCAUAGAUCUACAAAACUUACGUGUGACACAGAAAGUCUACGUUUUCGCAAGAAAUCCCGUAUUAUGUUCAUAAAAUGUUCAUUUAGAUUUUAGGGUUUAGUUCACGAAGAGGCGGCUCAUUGCUUUGAAUGGGACGAGCUCUUCACUUGCUCUUCCUUCUUAGGUCGCGCUUGCGUUGUCGACUCCGCGACUCAGAAAAAUUCCUCGUCAUGGGUACUUGCACUUUCCCGUAGGUUGUGUUGGUUACUGGUGUUUUGUGCGAGUUUUUUACUAGAUCAUGGUGCGCUAUUUCGCAUUUUUUUGUAGUCAGAGCCUUCCAUUGUAGUUUAGGGUUUAAAGCUCUAGCGUCUUGUUGUGGCCUGUCUGAGAUUCUGUUUUUGAUUGUGUGUCUUGAGGAGCGGUUGAAAUUGUGAUGUUGUGUAUUCGACUUCGAUAGCUACGUUGCACCGGUGUUGCUUCAUGUUGUUAGUGUUGGCGAAUUGUGUAUGGGGUUUCGGGGUCUUAUUUAUUUGUUUUGGUUUGUUUAGGGGCGUACAAAUACAUUGAGGAGCUAUGGCGGAAGAAGCAGUCCGAUGUGUUGCGAUUCUUGCUUCGUGUGCGCUGCUGGGAGUACAGGCAGCUUCCCGGCAUUGUCCGCGUCACUCGGCCUUCUCGGCCUGACAAGGCUCGUAGACUAGGUUACAAGGCUAAGCAAGUGCGUGUCAUUAAACCGAUUACUUCUUGUUACGUUCAUGUGGAUACUUUAUGUCGUUUGUUGUAGUUGCAGUACUGUUGUGCCUGGAGGUACUCGUCAGAUCCAAAAAUGUAUGCCUUUAGGUUUCAUCGCGGCUCGCAAUUUUCCAAGUUCUAGGCUCAUGUAAGUUAUUUUUCUGUUAAAUACCCAAAUUAUGCGAAUUACCACUGUCACUUUAAAAAAAUAGAAUCACAAUUAGUUUUCGCGCAGAACGAUACACAUAACUCUCGACAGCCAUUAUCUUAGUCUCUAUGGGUCAAAUUAGAGUUUGGUUGUUGUUGUCGUAGGGUUCUGCAUACAUGGAUGUUGAUGAGAUUGAAGCGUACACACCCUUUGACCUUUUCCAUCUACAAGUAUUCUCCACGUCCUGAAUCUGUAAUCGUGGAUGACGAUGCGUCUGUUAGUUAACGCGGUACUAGGUAUGUUUUUGGAAUAUGUGGCGUCAUGUUAUAAUCGUACAUCUCGAUCCUCGAGAGUUGACUUUUGUCUUGGUAUUUCCGCCAUUAUGUAUACUAAUAUAUUUUCUGCUGUCAGUCUUGAGUAAAAUACAUUCUCUUGCUUGUUUGUCUCCUUCAAUUUCUUGUGGGGUACUUGGAGCUGAUUAUUUCUGUGUGUUUGUAUCAGGGCUACGUGGUGUACCGUGUUCGUGUGCGCCGUGGAGGCAGGAAGAGGCCUGUUGCUAAGGGUAUUGUGUACGGAAAGCCAAAGAACCAGGGUAUUACACAGCUCAAGUUCCAGCGUAACUUGCGGUCAGUUGCUGAGGAGCGUGCAGGAAGGAAGCUUGGAGGCCUGAGGGUCCUCAACUCCUACUGGAUCAACCAGGACUCAACCUACAAGUACUUUGAGAUUAUCUUGGUGGAUCCACAACAUACUGUAAUCCGCAAGGACUCAAGGAUCAACUGGAUUGUCAACCCCGUGCACAAGCACCGUGAGUUGCGUGGAUUAACUUCUGCUGGCAAGAAGUACCGUGGUCUUCGUGGUAGAGGGCACUUGUACACUAAGGCUCGUCCUUCUAUUCGCGCUACAUGGAAGCGCAACAACACUCUUUCCCUCAAGCGUUACCGAUAGAGGGCGUGGAUGUUGGGAAUUGCGGUGGUUUUCCAUGUCGCCUUUUUUUUCUAAAAAUGCAAGGGCUUUUCAAAAAGUUCGGAAAUCCCCUCUUGUGUUCAACAUCACGUUGUUUGUUUUGUUGAUCUUCAUUUGCAGUUUCCUAUUCUUGUCUGAGCGCACACGACCCCUGAUUUGUAGGUGAUUCUGUUCAUGGUCGUAGAGGUCUUUUCUGUGAAUUUUACUUGGAUUAUAUCCCUGCAUCUAGAAGGAUAUGUGGCCUUAAAGCUCGUAAUUUGUUGUGAUUAUAGCCAAUGGGUGUUCUUCACCAGGAUUGUACUGUUUGGUACUCUCCUCGUCUGUGGAGGUCUCUUGUGGGCGGACAGAUUUGUGUCGGGAAUAAACGAUGAUAACUUCAGAACAUAUGUGGUGAACCCUCAAAUGAUGAAAGGAGACUAGUCAUCAAUAGAUUUAGCCUGAGAAAGUCGUGGGUAAUCGCUAUAACACACUUCACCUCCAGGUCUUUACCUCCCUCGCUGAAUCUGAAGAAUGGUAAGCAAUGGUCCGGAACCAACCUGCUACUUCGCCGAUCAAGUGCUCUUGACGGCUGAAUGUGUGAGACGUCGAGAUUGUUGAUGAACUAACUUUACAUCUCUCUUAACAUCCGUUACGACAGUAUAUGCUGACAAUCGAAUGACGCAUGACAUCUUGUCAAAGAUUUGCUCACUUAUUAUUCUCCCAGCAGUAGCCGCAAUCAAACGCUUCUGUACAAUUCGGUAGGAGAUUCCAUUCAUAACCACCUCGUAACCUCUACAUGCAGGAUCCCGAACAUCGACGGAUCUAGCACCAGGACAAUUGGCGAAAAGGAUUGGUAACCAGUCAAUUUCCACACUAAACCAAGCUCGGGGAGAAUCGAAGAAUAGACAUGGUAACAACGGAAGUUUCCAAACUCCGUCCCUUUGUUAUUGCUGUGGCUCUCAUAUUGUACGAGACUGCGCAGCUUUUCUCACUGCUUCGAUUCCGAAGCGAUAUACCACUCUUUGCACACUGCUCCCCAUCGCUCAACAGACGGCCCACCUACAACCGAAAUCCAUGUGAUGCUUCAAUACCAAGCAACAACAACGACUCAAUAGCGUCGCUGCCGCAGCUCGAAUCUAAAUCGGUCUCGUCCUUUAGUCGAUGAAGCCUCACAUCUGGGUAUCAUCUGAGUUUCAUCCUCCCAAGGUACUGGUAUCAAUAUACCGAGGGCAUCAACCCUAAAAACCUGAAUGCCUUUCACUUUUUCUUUCCUAAUUGCCUCGCUGAACAUGGAUGAACAAAGCAACCACGAUUUCGUCCAACUCGGCAAAAGUGCGUCCACGUCAUCAAUCUGGCAGGGUAAGAGUCCACGGUGUCUGCCACGGAGGAAGUCAGAAAUUACACGGAAAGCUCCAUUGAUCGACGCCGAAGCCACUGCUCCUUCACGACUUCAGUUGCCGCUGUUGCGGUAUUUCACAUUUGGAUUGCUCCAUAGCUGGUGAAAAUCCUACUAUUCUCCGCGGAUAACUCCGACUAGGAUCCUUGUAUGCAUGGUCAGGCUCCGGACGUGGCUUUCAUCGCCUUCAGUGGGGUAUUCUGAAGGUGGUGGUGGAGGAAGAUAUACCGACGUGGUGAAUUCGUGCUAGGUUGAAUUUGGAGAAGGGAAGAAGUUGCGGUCAUUUGGGGUUGAAUUCAUCGCGAUUUUGUGUCGUUUCGGUAUCUUGUGCGGUCUAGGAUUAUUGGGUUUUGAAGCAACUGAACUAUGGGAGCCACUUCGGGGCAGUCGACGCAACCAUUCAUAGGAAAUGAGCAGCCGCAAUCAAAUGCGACGGUUGAGCAUCAUGGAUAUCCCGUCAUUCGGUCGGAACCGCCGCUCGCCGUCAAUUACUACGGGGGUAGCCACCAGGUUGUGCAUGUGUACACGGACAACGACUGGACGACGGGGAUCCUUGGGUGCAUGGAAGAUGUCCCGAAUUGCGUGUUCACCAUGGUCUGCCCGUGUCUUGCGUUCGGGCGCGUUGUUGAGCAUCUGGAUGAUGGGAACACUCCAUGUAUUACAGCAGCGCUUGUGUGGUAUGUGAUUCAGCAAUUGACGUCGUGCGGGUGUGUAUACUCUUACGGGUAUCGUAAGAAGCUUAGGCGCAAGUAUAACUUGCCUAGUCGACCAUUGCCAGAUUGGUUCGUCCAUUAUUUCUGCUGGUCCUGCGCAAUCUGUCAGGUGAUGUUCAAUGCUCCUCUCGCAAAAUUGCUGUGCAAUCUAGUGGUUUGUUAACUAAUAGAAAUAAUCGUUUUUGCGGUGUAGAACUCUAGGUGGCGAUAUAGACUUUUAGAGUGAUCCCUUUCGUUACUGGUUCUAAAAUGAUGAAUGAGGAAAAGUAUGAAGAAGAAAUUAGGUUACAAUCCGGUACUUCAGCGUGUUUGCAUUAUUAAGAACAGGGCAUGUUCAGGAGAGUUUGGUAUAGUCUUGCCACGCACACGGUAACCUUCGUCAUGAAAACAGUGUUUUGUUUUGCUGAUUCUUGAGUUGAGUUGCAUUUUAAAGCCCUUUUUGAGCCUCUUGCUCUUAAUUUGAUAGCUUAUCAUCAUUCAGAAAAUUCAUCAACUACUUUCAGUUUACUUCUUGUGUCGUGUCGGUGUGCAAAUUCACACAUGAAUUGUGAUGGAGAGAAGGAGAUGCCUAUAUCUGUCCAUGUCAGAUGAGUGCAUUGCCGCUCGAUUACUUUUUUUUUUCUUUCAUGGAAUUGCUUGUUCCUGUCUCACAGAACUAAUCGUUGCUUGCCCUGAUUCAGGAGACCCGAGAAAUCAAGAACAGAGAAGUGAUCAACAGGUAUUAUGCUGGCGGAGUUAUGCUGCCACCUCCACGUCAAUCGUUUCCACACAGGUGGUGAUGUUUCAUAAUCAUAGCAUGUACAUUUAGAUUGGAAUUCUAUCUUAAUGGUCUUGCGGGUCAGCCAGACUUGGCAGCACAUUUGCCUAGCGAAGUAAACGAUUUGUAUGCGAGGAAAACGUGUACUGCAAGCUCAUGGUGGCGUGAGCUCAAACUUUUUAACUUUGGUGCACACAGAUUCAUGCUGACCUCUUUGGCAGAGUGUACAUGAGGUGGUGAAGUAUCUCAUACACAAAUUUCACCGAAUAUUUUUGCGGGGCAACUUAAGUGAAAAUGCCUUGUGCUUCUGUGUUUGUACAUGAAAAAGCACAGUACCCGAUGAUUUUAGAUAAUUGUUUUUAAUGUAAUAGUAUUCAUGAAAUAGUUGACUAGACUAUAUCCGAUCCUACAUCAUAGGUUGGUCGAAGUUUGGCUUGAACAGUCUUGAUGAAAACAAAGGGUCAGGUAGGAUUGAACAACGAAAUUGAUCUUGAUUUUUUAUAAAGCCUCAUGAAGCAAACCAGAGACGAGAAAAUGCAAAUGAUAAAAUCCAUUUUGUGCUGAAUAUGAGAAAGUAUCAAAAGCUAAGUUUUUGAACUCCUAUACAAUUACCAUAAAGUACCCAAUUAAUGAUUUUUAUGAGUCUAGAAGCAACUGAAGGUACAAUUUUUGAAAAGUUGAAAAACAAUGAAAAACAAAGGCGGAUUUGUGUAUAGAGUCAUAAAUUUAGUAACGUAAUAUGAGUUAGAGGUGGUAAAAUAUCAUUGUACACUGCACGGAAAUUAGCAUUCUAAAACUGAAAAAGAAAAUAUCACUAAUGAUUUGAAUGCCUUCUAUAAGACAUGGUUACUUUGGAAAUAUUUCUUCGAAAUUGAAAAAGGGAGGAAAAAAAUUAGAUCAAAUUUAUAUUAAAAGUCAAGAAACACAUGCAUAAAGUUAACAUUUUCUUGAGUUAAUUAAUUAAACCCACAAACAUAGAAAAAAAAGAAACACAAAACAAAAAAACCAAACGAAAAAAAAGGUUAAAAGAGUUCCAUUGAAUAGUAAUGUUGGCCAAACUGAGAAACUUCUGUUUUAUCUUAAUAAAUGUCGAAUUUAUGGUUUUAUGUAGAAAAAAAGUAUUGUGUGCAUAUUGUCUGGUGGAAUGUUAUUGGUUUCAGAAUUGAAAAUUAGAAUAUAUAUGUAUAUAUAUAUAUAUAUACAUGCAUAAACAUGUACCCGCUUUGCUAGGGUAAUGAAUGUUAGACCUAAAAAAGUAAUAAAAUGAAUAAUCAACUUAUAUGAGAGGGACGUCAACUAGCAAUAUGGCUAGAAUACCUUCUCACCUUCUGAUAGUUCUAAAAGUUUUUAAUUCACUUGCAGUGAAGCGGAAUAAUCUCGACCAUCUAUUCUACAUCAUUUCAACACAUCAAAACGAUUGUAAUGAUAUGGGUAUUAAUGAAGACAUGCUAAAAUUUCAACAAUUUUAUUAGUAGAGGUAGGUUGGGCCAGAUGAGCACAAUUCAAGAUUAAACAACCUUGACAUGACAGACUGUCAUUGAAAAUCAAAGUCAAUUGAAAUCAUACUGUUCUAAAGUAAAUUUCACCCCACGAUGAUUACUACCAUCACAUCCAAACUCUAAAAAAAUUAUAUUGAAAGUUCUGCGAGAACGGAUACGAGGUAAAAAAUGACAAGAUAUCCAGAUGACCCAUGCGUCAUAAGCUCCUGCGACAGACACUAGAAGCCUUGUACAAUGUGUACAGCAGUCAUGUGCAAGUAACUUUUGAAGUAAACUGUCAAGUACACAACGACAAAAGAAUAAUAAUGUAAACCGUGUAAUCAGAGGAUGAUGAAGCACUCAUUCAAAAUCCAGCCAUAAAGAAAACUAGAACUUGAUUAACGCUGUUAACAUUAAGAAGGUAGGCACAACAAUCCAGAGCACAAGAAUGCUAUCUAAAUGCAUUACUUAGAAGAACCCAUAUACAUUCCAUAGUGGUCAACCAUACCAAGACUAGCCAUAAUUCUCAAAUGAUAGACCUAGGUAAGAUCAACACAAGAGAAGCACAUAACCAAGCGAGACCAGAAAAGUGAAACCGAACACAACCUUACCUUGUUGAAAUCAAGAAGCUCAUGACCAACAAGGCUCAGACUGUAAGAAUUCAAAUUGCCGAUGCUGUAUCGCUGGAACGGGCUACCAAGAAGCUGAAAAGAUACUUAAAAUGUCACGUUAGCGGAUUGAUGUGAGUAGGUAAUCCCACUCACUCCUACCUGAGUACUGCGGGAAGAGGCAGGGAACAAAUGAAGCCAAUAGACUUCUUUAAUUUUCCAACCUGAUGUGCUUUGGGUGAGUUCAGAAGUUCAAAGAAAUCAAAGCGCCUGAUUGACUUCACCUGCCUUUGGGCCUACUUGAGCUUCAAACCCUAAUUACUAUACAUAAACGAUUCCCGAGGGUCGCUUCCAUAAUACAAGGGCUUUGUAGACUCAGUUAAAUUGCCUUACAGCAGGAUCUCAAGACUUAUGCCAGAAUUUCCUCUGUCAUGUACACAUCCAAUCGGACAUCAAUCAAAACAUAGCGACCCUCCGUAUCUCACAGCACCCGUAACUCCGCUAGGAAAGCUGCGCAUAGGUCGAGAAAGAGAUAUGUGGGACCCACUACUCUUUGCAGGUCCAGCAAAUACUUCUCUUCUCGCAACUUGAAGAGCUGCAUUCAGAAGAUACAGGCAGAAUUUGUUAGCAUUGCACUUGUAAUGACUUGUAAAAACUGAUUUGGUUUCAGCAACGUAUCAUAAUCUGCACAAAGUCCUGCAAAGCAUGUGAAAUGCUACGAAAAGUUCCUAGAAAAGGAAACUUGUUUGAUCCAACUUCCUGGUGUUUAAAACUUGGUCCUUUCACAAUUACAUAGAAGAGUGAUGAGAAGUAAGCUAUUUAGCUGAGGCCCUGAUCAAGACAUGUAUCAACUUGGCAAUUAGAAUGACCCAAUUCUGAAGUCACCAUAAAUCCAAGAUGAAGACGGCUUAAGCAAAUGAUACACCUUACUGUGCUAGGAAACCGAGAACUAAUAUUUUUGAAGAGACGAACCUGCAAUUCAAACUUGAGGACAUUACUCUCGACGCCACUCUCGUUAUCUCUGUUUCCAGCAGCCACUGAACCAGAAACUCCGUGCUGCUCAGAAGACCAGCGGCAAGAAGAAGCUCUAGGCAUAGAUCCAGCCAUUGGGGAAUCAGGAAGGCUAUGAUUCUCUGCAGUCGUGUCAUUCGAAUUUUGGCCUGGUGCAACCCAUCGGCACUUCAAGUUGUAAGCCCCUGUCUUCUUCCAGUUGAUGCCCAGAUCGCGGAGGGUCUUCAAAACGUCAUUCAUUAUCUCUUUAGGGUGUGAUCGUAACUGCAAUACAGUUAACCACCCUAAAUAAGUUAUCUACAAUCGCCACUGUCCUUCAGAUUUCUCAAACCGAAUAGAGUAUAAAAAAUUGGUGUCAACAAGAAUCUGUAGCUCGUUACAAUAGAUACUACCGAAAUUGAGAGGAACGAGAUCUGAGGGAAGAGGUAUAUGAAAUGGACUUAUUAGAAUGGUAGAGAAAGGAAAUUCAAAAAAUACCUGGAGACCUAAAACCCAUUUCCUCUCAGCUACAACCCUAUGUUGUAGCCCAGAGGGCGAUGCACUUCUUCGGUCCAUACUAGACAUGUGGGUUAAAGUUCGAGGAUAACCAGAUCUUGGCGUCCCGUUAAAUGCAUCCAUUGGAGACAUCAAGUGCUCCUGCAUCAAGAAAUAAACUCCUCACUUUAGACAAUGCUUUACCUUAAGUUCUGAGAAGAAAUCAAAACAAAAAUGGAAUGUGUUUGCCGUGCCAGCCAAAGAAUACCAUAAAUGAACGAUUUUGCACCUACUCAAUUUAAGGACGCAUGAGAUCAUGAACAAGAUAAGUCUUGACAGCCCUAAACCAACCUUUCCCUCAUUGAAUUCAGAGCAAAGAUAACCAUUUGAAAGCCGCCGACGGUUGUCCAGCAUCAAAUAAUAUGCCACAGUGGCCUGCAGAAUAGAAAAUUAAAUGUUCUCAUUAGUUGGACCCAUGUUCACAAACCUUGUUAACCCUAAGAUACAGAAUUUCUGCUGAUAAGUUUGAAUGGAUAGGUAGUCAGAAUUUCCUACUACUUUCCAAACUUUAGACAAGGUUUAGGUUGGCACUACCAAGCCACUGGGGCAUUGAUAAAUUGCAUUACACUGUAAGGAAGUAUGAUACGCUACGAAAGAGUAAGUACCUUGUUUUGCACGCGGUUUAGCAGUGAGUCAAUAAGUAGGUCCCGAUCAAAAUUCAAUGCAACAACCCGCUCCAAUAUUUCCUCGUCAAUCUGUCCGUAAACACACCACCAAACAAUCAUAUGCAUACUCAGAAGACGGCACGACCAGUGUCGCUCAUAAAUGAGAACAUUACUCAAAAAAAAGACAUCAAGUUUCACAAACUUAUAUAUUAAACAUACUCUGAUAAGCACGGUCAUCCAUAUCCUCAAAAGUGAGACCAAGCAAAGCUAUCAACUUCGAGGAAACACCUCAGAACAAUUUUAAUCCGCGAUCAUUUCGAAGAUUACAACGCUUAGCCUCAGUUUUGAAGUUCGGUAUUAAUUUGAUCGAAGUUCUCAUGUUCUUCUACGAGUAAGAGAAGAUACGACACAUGCUCGUCGUUUACAUACACGUUAAAUUGCAUGUACAUACUAGAAAAGAGAAAAUUUCUCAAACGGCCAUCAAAACAUUUUUAGAAAUUUCAGGGAAUAAUCUAGAGCCUCUGGCGGUUGAAUUAAAAAAGUAAAGAAAGCAGCAAGUGAACCCAAGCGCAACCCCAUGAAUUUCAAGAGCACAUACACUAAUAAAUUAUAAUGAGCUCUUACCCGUUUAGCUUGCUGAGUUGUAUCAGGAGGGGGAACUGCAAGGUAACGGGGCAAAUGAUUUAAAAACCAUGGAUGCUGCCGAAUCUCAGGAAUUGUUACUCUCUUCAUCGGGUCUACAAGCAACAUUCUUGGAAUGAGAUCUCUUGCUCCUGGUGAUAAAUGACUAGGCAGAGUGUAGAUGCCACCCUGAGCAGAAAAUACAAUUCAAAAGUGAAUACCAACCAGUAAAUUCUACGUAUUUGUAUAUCAUUUUAUAUGUACAUGCACGUAGAACACAAGCUAUCAGACAGAGACUCAGGGUUGCAAACCUUCGCUUCAGAAUAAGUAUGUAAAAUCGCUUUGUACACAUUAUCUUCAAGUAAGAACAUGGGCUUGUACACAAACUGCACUACGCGGUUCUAAGCGGACUGAAAGAAACACAAUACUCGACUGCAGCGCUGUUACCAGACACGAAACAAAUAGCUAGACACGCCGAACCAACAAUCUAACCUUGAUUUUCUUAAACAGAUUUGGAAUGUUUUCGUCGUCAAAGGGUAAAGAACCACACAAAAGAGCAUACAGAAUAACGCCACAGCUCCACACAUCCACCUCGGGACCGGCAUAUAACUUCCCUGAAAUGACCUGCAUGUUCAACAAUAUCAACAGUCAACAAGCAGGAGUGUGUCCGGGCACAGAAAACCUACAACUUGGUUCAGGCACCCAACACAGAAAACAGAAACAUGUGACACAAUCACAUGACGAAUUAAAACAGUGUCAAACAAGGCAAUCAGGCAUAGAGCAAAACCUCUGGAGCAGCAUAAUUUGGACUUCCACAGCUAGUUUUGAGGAAAUGACCGUCCCUCAUAACAUUGGAUAACCCAAAAUCAGCAAUCUUGACGUUAGACUUGGAAUCAAGAAGUAAGUUCUCUGGCUUCAAGUCACGAUGAACUACCAUGUUCCGAUGACAAUACUCCACUCCGGACACAAUCUGUACAGAAUAAGAAAGUUCAAUCAGCUUCAAGAUAAGAGUGCACACGAAAUACAAAGUUUCAUGAAACAUUUAUCCCUCAGACAAAAGACACACUCUCUCCCUCUCUCCCUCUCACACACACGGGAGUCCCAUGAGUAUCAAGUGUUGCUGAGAAGAGAAAAAAGCACAAGAAAACAAAUUAAGAACCACUUAAUCGGAGCGGAAAUUUUCUACUCACAGCAUCAUUAUGCCAACAAAUGGUUUUAAACUCCGCAAUCCACCCUCGAGAAUUUACGUCACCACAGCAGGCAUAUCAAGGUGAUUGAAUGAAGCCCCAACGUACAAUUCAGUAACUUGCAUUAGAAUAGCUGUAAAACCAGAGCAUAGGCUACCUGCUGGAAAAAUCGUCGAGCUUCAUGUUCACCUAGACGUCCCUUCUCAACAAUGUAAUCAAACAGCUCCCCUGAUUUUACAUAUUCCAUCACCACAAAUAUGUCUGCCGGUGUCUCGAUAACUUCGUACAAGCGUAUGAUGUGGGGAUGCAUGAAUAGUCGCAAAAUCUUGAUCUCACGCCGCACUGCACAACAUGCCACCACACCUCAGCCAUUACUGAAUCAACUUAUGGACUUAGGGACUGAAUGCGAACAUCAUACAUGAGUAGUCGAACCCUAGAAAGGAUUCAUGAACCCUAAUGACUGAACGAUAAGCAGUACAAGAUAUUUCUAUAUUUGUAAGGAGGUCAAGCUACACUAAAGUUAGUCAAGAGACCCUGAACCCAUACACAAAAGAAAAAAAAAGGAAAGUACUGAUCUGACUGUAAGCUAAAACUCUUGGGCAGAUGCUAAAUCCCCUACUGACCCACUGACAGACUCAACGCACACACACACACACACACACACACACACACACAUGUUUUCCUUCGACACGCAAAAGCACUUCAUCAGGCCUAAGGAAGUGGAUCAAAGUAUAACAAAAGGCUGAAACCGACCUUUCUCCUCCAUGUCCAUCAUCUUGACUUUCCGUCGAUUUAAAAUUUUAAUAGCCACCUUGUGGCCAGUGGGUGAAUGUUCUGCCACUUUCACCUUCCCGAAAGACCCAAUCCCUAGGGUUUUCCCCAGCUUGUAGUUGGGCAAAUAGUACUCCGCUGUAGCAGGACCCAUGGGCCGGCCACCUGCCUCCAUCGCUAACUCCUUCACCCCCACCCUAACCUUCCGGCACUCACGUCUGCAGUCUCUCUAUCCACUCCCGGGCAAUGGCUCUCAACGUCACGACCCGCCAAUUACGCAGAGCCUCAUCUCCUCAAUGCGAGAUCCCUCCUUUCCAUCACGCCCAAAUUCAUCUACCGUGGGACACUGAAUCCGCCACAGCCUCACCCCCAAACUCAUUCACACUACACCCUCCCAAACCAGAUCACCUCAAAUCAAACGCCUUCAAAUCCGCCACACAUCUCCACAAUGGCACGCAGUCAAUGCACUCCAACACCCUUCUAAAACCUCCACUCCCAUUCCCCGCACCAGAUCAAUAUACCCUUAUCACACCAUCUCCACAUAAAACUCCACCAGACUACCACCUCAAAUAAAACCCCCCUCUACCCGACUGUCCCUCCUCCGCAGAUCACACCACCCAACCCUCACCUCCCUACUCCAACCCCAACUAUAAAUCCACAACUCUGCAAUCCACCCUUCCAACCCCUACAUAAAACAUACACAUCAGAUCCCCCUCCUCGUUAUCCCUCCCAUACACCCCCUUCAUNNNNNNNNNNNNNNNNNNNNNNNNNNNNNNNNNNNNNNNNNNNNNNNNNNNNNNNNNNNNNNNNNNNNNNNNNNNNNNNNNNNNNNNNNNNNNNNNNNNNACUCCUGUCUACCCAUCCAUCCACCACACCAAAGCUUUCUUCCUCCCCCUUCGCCUCAAACGCCACUCAAAGCCACCAAACGAAAAUCCGACAUUGUACAGCAAAACUACAUCAGAAUCCAGAGGCGGUGCAGCAAAUCCGAGCCGUGAAUCAGACACCGGCAUAGGACUACUGCCAGGGAUCGAAGGAGAAGGAAGGUCCCUCCAAACGAGAGAGCGAGAGAGAGAAUAGACUAGAAUAGACUAGAAGAAAAGAGAAAAAGGAGAGGAAGAAGAAGAAGAAGAAGAGAUGAGAGCGAGGGGGACGACAACAUGUGCAGGGAAAAGAAAGAGUUCAAGGCAUGAUUCUCACUCUGUCUCAUAAGGAGCCUCAAUUGAUACCCCAUACCCACCCGGUAACGAUUGAUACUCUGUGGUCACCGGAUAUGGACCCUACACCCCUCUCCCUCCCUUCCCUCCGCCCCAACCGACGGCUAUUGACCUUCCAGAUUCCCUUCUUCAUUCGUUUGUUUGUUGCUUUUUCGUCCACUUUAAUCAUUCGCCCUCUGUCCCGUUUCUCGUACACUUUGUAGGCUUCGUCUUCCUUUCUUUCUGCUUUUUACCUUUUUUUUCUCUCGCCCUCGAUGCCUUUAUCUUUUUUUAAUGCCUUUUUUUCGAUUGCCCAGGUUCGGUUUCUGUUGCUUUUGAGAUGAUGGUUUGCUAUCCCCCUUGUUUGUUG
rnacentral:lncRNA from 1 species